rnacentral:lncRNA from 1 species
GUUUUUUUUUUGUAGUGGGAAAAAUUCCUAAGCAACCGAAUAUGGACGUAUGUAAUAAUAGUUAUCAUAGAUCGCAGAGGGCGGAAUGCAUAAUUGCUAUGAAACAUUUUUUUAAGCUUGGCAUUGGUGAAUAAGAUGCAAUGAAAAUGUACAAGAAUAAGUACAAAUUCACCUCGGAGGUGGUAGCAUAUGGCUGCAUCUACCAACUUGCACACAAAACAUCUAUGGUCUAUGAACACCUGACUGAUGCUUUAGAUGAAUUUAUUGGCAGUGUGGUUUUUGGUUAGCCACUGAUGUUCUAGUUCAUGUCUCGAGUUUGUGAAGAUGAGCGGAAGAGCCAGAUAUGGGUCACAGAGGAUGGCACUAUGGAUAAAUAUAACGACUCAUUUGAGGAUGUCCUCCUACUCCAAAACAAUCCACAGUUAAUGGACAAAAACUUCAACAUCCUCCGGGAGAGAAUCGGCACAAACACAUUACAAAUAGAGAUGCUAGCAUACAAAUACACCAACUGAAAGAACAUGCGGUGCCCCAUGUUUGGUUUUGGUAAUUGAUAACAAUCUCUAUGGACUAAUGGUUGCCUUGAGUUAUAUUUGAAGGUUUUGUCCAUAGGCUUUUCUUGGAGUACAUGUGUUUGUUUCAAGGAGAGUUUGUGUCUAUCAAGGUGUUAUUCAAGGAAUUAUCCAAAGAUUAGUCAUGUGAGAGUUGAGCUUAUUGCAAGCAUGUCUUGAAGAAGAAGAUUGUGUGAUCAUUCAUGUCUACCUUUGUAACGCCCGGAUAAUUAAGCUACAGUAAUUUUCUGCUGAUGAUGCCACGUCAUCACUGUUACUGUUGUUAAACUCGCGUUGGUUCGUAUCCGGUCCAAAUUUAAAUUUAAAAUAAAGUCAAAAAUAAAAGUUUUUUUUUAAUGUCAAAACCAAAAUGUGCAGGCUGUGGAAAAUAAUUCAUAAAUAUUAUUGGAGAAGAAACCAAAUUCUUAUAAGAUGUUUAGGUGCUCAAAAAUAAAUAAAACAGUGGCUUAAACAAUUAUUCAAAUGCCUUUUGUAAUUUCUAAAAUGUUAAGCUAUUUUAUUUUUGGGUGAAACUUUUUGUGGCAUUGGUAUAAUUAGGAAUAAUAUUUUAGGAACAAAUUCUAUAUUUUAUAGAACUCUAAUAAAUUAAAAGUUGAGUGAAAACAGAGCAGAAAAUAAACAAUAGAAAAAUAAAACCCAAACAACAAAACAAAACAAAUCCCCUCCCCAUCUCCCCUGUUCACGCGAUCGUGGACACCGGCGAUGGCCGCCACGGCAGAGGGCGUCGCCGUGGCGCCCAUCCGCCACCCCUCCGGCGCCUACUUAACCGGUGUCCCCCCUCUCCACGCGAACCCUAAUCCCCACUUCCCCCCUUGCGCCCCCAACCCCUCGAGCCCGCCCCGUGGAUGCCCGGAGCCGCGUCGCCAUUGGUCCUCGCCUUCCCGUCGCCUCGUCGACACGUCUUCCUCCGCCACGGACACCGCACACUCAUCGUCGAUUCGUUUCACCACGAGUCCCUCCAGCAUCACCGAGCAGCUCCUAGUCAACAAUGUGAGCAGGCGCCCGAACCCCUUCUGUUUCACCAUCUAAUCCGUGCCCAUUGCCUAGCUAGACGUCGCGUCCGAAGCUCACCAUCGCAGUUCAUGUCGCCACCGCGGCCACUGCUCGCGAAGCUCACGACGAGCUCCGCUUCGUGUUCCUGGAGUUCUCAGGAACCCGUAGCACCCAACCCCGUCGCUUCCCGUGUCCUACAUCGCCUCCUUGAGUUCUCCAUGGCGCCAUCGAAGCAUCGCGUCCGCGCUCCUGCGCGCUCGUGUAACCGCCGCGGCCUGUCCGUGCCCACCUGCGCUGCUGCCGCUAGUUGCUUCUGCUGCUGAUGGCUGCUGCUCUCGCCGCCGUUCUCUGCCACUUGUGUUCGCCUGCAACUUUGCUGCUGUCGCCGGCGCUCCCUGCGUGCGCCCGCCGGAGCACCCCGGCCGCGCCCGCGCAUACGCGCGCCCGUCCGCCUCGUGCACGGCUUUGCCUCCCCUGCUGCAGCGCCCCAGCCCGCUUGCUCCCACCGCUACUUGCUGUAUUGAUGCUUGUACUGUAGUCUGUAGGUGCUGCUAGCUAGCUUUGCAAAUCCUACACUAACUAACCCUUUGGACAGCCUCUAAACAUACACUAAACAAUUGUUAACAGGUCUAAGAAGAAUAUGAGUAGAAAGUAUACUUGACAAACUUCAUUUUAUCCCACUGGACCAAAUCCUUUCGAUGCAUCGAUUAAAUCCUAUAAAAAUCACAAAAUGCCAUCUUCUCUUACACCUAGCAUUGUGUGUGUAUACAGCCACCACUGCCCGGGCCGUACAAAUUAGUUUAGGGGAUAAUUUCUAGUUAGUUUAAUUGCUAGCCAAUGAUAAGAGGGGCCCAUGUUUAGAUUAGAUAAAUCUACUUAGGAAUUUAAUAAAACUAAUUAACUUUUAGUUAAUUUCGCUGACAUGUGGCCCUGCUGUAAAUUAAAAUGAUAGAUUAAACUAAAAGUGCCUAAGUCUAUGACAGCCGGGACCCACCUUUACUAUUCACUGCUGACUGGACCCUCCCUGACCCACUGUCAGCCUCUGUGUACACAAAGCUGGCUACACAUAGCAAUUUGUUAUUUAAUUUUGAAUUAAAAUAAUUUCAAAAUAUUGUUUAAAUCUUUGAAAAAUCAUAGAAAAUAAUCCGUAACUCGGAUGAAAAAGUUUUAUACAUGAAAGUUGCUCAGAACAACGAGACGAAUCCGGAUACGCAGCCCGUUCGUCCGCCACGCAUCCCGAGCAUAGUGAACAUACAAAUUUUCCCCUCCGAUUCAUCUGUCCGAAAACGCGAAACACCGAGGAUAUUUUCCCGGAUGUUUCCCCCCUUCACCGGUAUCACCUCAUACCGUGUUAGGGCACCCCUAGCACCGUUACUUGACAUGUCAUGCAUCGUCAUGCAUCUGUUUGCUUAAUAUUUAUUGUUUCUUUCCCCUCUUCUCUCGCUAGACACCGAGACCGACGCCGCUGCUACCCAGUACGACUACGGUGUUGACGAUCCCUUUCUCUUGCCAGAGCAACCAGGCAAGACCCCCCUCUUGAUCACCAGAUAUUGCUUACUCUUCUCUAUACUGCUUGCAUUAGAGUAGUGUAGCAUGUUACUGCUUUCCGUUAAUCCUAUCCUGAUGCAUAGCCUGUCAUUGUUGCUACAAUUGUUGAUACCUUACCUGCAAUCCUGCAUGCUUAGUAUAGGUUGCUAGUAGUUCAUCAGUGGCCCUACAUUCUUGUCCGUCUUCCAUGCUAUACUUUCGGGCCGUGAUCACUCGGGAAGUGAUCAUGGGUAUAUACAUACAUAUAUACAUACUAUCAAGCGGUGACUAAAGUCGGGUCGGCUCGUUGAGUACCCGCAAGUGAUUCCGAUGUUGGGGGCUGAAGGGGCAGGUGGUUCCACCCAGGUAGUGGUGGGCUUGGGUUCCCGACGGCCCCCGACUAUUACCUUGAGGCGGAGCGACAUGGCAGGUUGAGACCACCUAGGAGAGAGGUGGGCCUGACCCUGGUCGGCUUCCGUGGAUAUGUCAGCAUAACAUGCUUAACGAGAUCUUGGUAUUUGAUCUGAGUCUGGCCGCUGGCCUAUACGCACUAACCAACUACGCGGGAACAGUUAUGGGCACUCGACGUCGUGGUAUCAGCCGAAGCCUUCCUGACGUCAGCGACUGAGCGGUGCGCGUCGGGUUGGACUGGAACGCCUGCUCUUGUAUAAGGGAGGCUAGGUCUGCUCGCCGGCCGCGUUCGCAACGUGCAGGUGUGCAAUGGGCGAUGGGCCCAGACCCCUGCGCCAUAGGAUUUACACCGGCAUGCUGACCUCUUUGUUGUGCCUAGGUAGGGUUGCGACGUGUUGAUCUUCCGAGGCCGGGCAUGACCCAGAAAAGUGUGUCCGGACAAAGGGGAUCAAGCGUGUUGGGAAAUGUGGUGCACCCCUGCAGGGAAGUUAAUCUAUUUGAAUAGCCGUGAUCUUCGGUAACAGGACGACUUAGAGUUGUACCUUGACCUUUUGCCAACUAGAACCGGUUACUUAAUAAAACACACCCUUCCAAGUGCUAGAUACAACCCGGUGAUCGCUCUCUAACAGGGCGAUGAGGAGAGGAUCGCCGGGUAGGAUUAUGCUACACGAUGCUACUUGGUGAACUUACCAUCUACUCUCUUCUACAUGCUGCAAGAUGGAGGUUGCCAGAAGCGUAGUCUUCGAUAGGACUAGCUAUCCCCCUCUUAUUCCGGCAUUCUGCAGUUUAGUCCACAUAUGAUACCCCUUUUCCAUUUGAUACCAAUGCAUACAUAUGUAGUGUAGCUCCUUGCUUGUGAGUACUUUGGUGAGUACUCACGGUUGCUUUGUUUCCCCUUUUCCCCCUUCCUAUACCCGAUUGCUGCGACCAGACGAUGGAGUCCAGGAGCUAGAAGCCACCGUUGACGAUGACUCCUACUACACAGGAGGUGCCUACUACUACGUGCGGCCCGCUGACGACGACCAGGAGUAGUUUAGGAGGAUCCCAGGCAGGAGGCCUGCGCCUCUUUCGGUCUAUAUCCCAGUUUGUGCUAGCCUUCUUAAGGCAAACUUGUUUACUUACGUUUGUACUCAGAUAUUAUUGCUUCCGCUGACUCGUCUAUGAUCGAGCUCUUGUAUUCGAGCCCUCGAGGCCCCUGGCUUGUAAUAUGAUGCUUGUAUGACUUAUUUUAUUUGUAGAGUUGUGUUGUGAUAUCUUCCCGUGAGUCCCUGAUCUUGAUCGUACACGUUUGCGUGUAUGAUUAGUGUACGAUUGAAUCGGGGGCGUCACAACCUUCAAGACAUCAUCCAAAUGAAGAGAAUUGGAAAGGUUUAAGGUUGAUCAAGACUAAGUCAAGAGUGAAUCAAGUUGAUCAACUCACAAAGCGCAGAAGAUGUACCGAAAGGGAUCAAGUGGUCCCAUGGUAUGGUAAGCAUUGUCAAUUACGCUUUGUAUACUAACCCAUGGUCUUCGUGAGAGUUCUGUGUGGGGUUAGGUUGCCGUGUGCAAGUUCAAGUGAUGCAUCACAAAGAGAUCAAGUGCUUGAAGCUUGCCUUCCAUUGUGGUGACAAUGGACUUGUGAAGAUGUGCGUAAGAGUUUCUCACCCAUAGUGGAGUAUGGGGGAGCAAUCUACUAGUCUUCACCAAGCCACCGCAAUCAAGAAAGGUGGUCCAACUUGAGAAAGUCAAGAUCAUCAUCAUGUAGCUCAAGUGGACUAUGUGCAAGACAAAGGUUUGCCCUUGAUAGGUUUUCUAUUUUACCGGUCUCAUAGUGGUAGUCGGGAGACCGGGUUAUAGGAUUGAUUGCCGUACUAUCAAGAGGGGCUCUCGAUGAGUAGCUUGAUCGUAUCGUUCGUAGAGAGUUCAAACCAUUGCAUCCUUGCAUCAUCUUUAUUGGUUCUUGUUUGGUUCUUCUCUUUGUGAGUUUUGGAGCUUAUGGUCAUCUUGAUGACAAGCUCGAGUUCAUCAAAAACGGAGUUCACAUGCAUCUUCUAUGAUGUUUUCGAUGUUGGAGGUUUUGCCGGUUCUUCUCGGUUGGAGGUUUGAUACGUCUCCAACGUAUCUAUAAUUUUUGAUUGCUCCAUGCUAUAUUAUCUACUGUUUUGGACUAUAUUGAGCUUUAUUUUCCACUUUUAUAUUAUUUUUGGGACUAACCUAUUAACCGGAGGCCCAGCCCAGAAUUGUUGUUUUUUGUCUAUUUCAGUGUUUCGAAGAAACGGAAUAUCAGACGGAGUCCAAACGGAAUAAACCUUUCUGGAACGUGAUUUUCUUCCCGAAUAUGACCCAGGAGACUUGGACCCUACGCCAAGGAAGCUUCGAGGUGGGCACGAGGUAGGGGGCGUGCCGUAUACCCCAAGGCGCGCCCCCCACCCUCGUGGGCCCACCGAAACUCCACCGACGUACUUCUUCCUCCUAUAUAUACCUACGUACCCCCAAACGAACAAAGACGGAGCCAAAAACCUAAUUCCACCGCCGCAACUUUCUGUAUCCACGAGAUCCCAUCUUGGGGCCUGUUCCGGAGCUCCACCGGAGAGGGCCGUCAUCACGAAGGGCUUCUACAUCAUCAUAGCCUCUCCGAUGAAGUGUGAGUAGUUUACCUCAGACCUUAGGGUCCAUAGUUAUUAGCUAGAUGGCUUCUUUUCUCUUUUUGGAUCUCAAUACAAAGUUCUCCCCUCUCUCGUGGAGAUCUAUUCGAUGUAAUCUUCUUCUUUUUGCGGUAUGUUUGUUGAGACCGAUGAAUUGUGGGUUUAUGAUCAAGUCUAUCUAUGAAUAAUAUUUGAAUCUUCUCUGAAUUCUUUUAUGUAUGAUUGGUUAUCUUUGCAAGUCUCUUCGAAUUAUCCGUUUGGUUUGGCCAACUAGAUUGGUAGUUCUUGCCAUGGGAGAAGUGCUUAGCUUUGGGUUCGAUCUUGCGGUGUCCUUUCCCGGUAACAGAAGGGGCAGCAAGGCACGUAUUGCAUCGUUGCCAUCGAGGAUAACAAGAUGGGGUUUAUUUCAUAUUGCAUGAAUUUAUCUCUCUACAUCAUGUCAUCUUGCUUAACGCGUUACUCUGUUUUUAACUUAAUACUCUAGAUGCAUGCUGGAUAGCGGUCGAUGAGUGGAGUAAUAGUAGUAGAUGCAGAAUCGUUUCGGUCUACUUGUCACGGACGUGAUGCCUAUAUACAUGAUCAUGCCUAGAUAUUUUCAUAACUAUGCUCAAUUCUGUCAAUUGCUCAACAGUAAUUUGUUCACCCACCGUAGAAUACUUAUGCUCUUGAGAGAAGCCACUAGUGAAACCUAUGGCCCCCGGGUCUAUUCUCAUCAUAUCAAACUCCAUCACUUUAAUCUUGCUUUGCUUUUUACUUUGCCUUUUUAUUUUCACUUUGCAUCUCUAUACCAAAAAUACCAAAAAUAUUAUAUCUAUCAGAUCUCACUCUCGUAAGUGACCGUGAAGGGAUUGACAACCCCUAAUCGCGUUGGUUGCGAGUAGCUAUCGUUUUGUGCAGGUACGAGGGACUUGAGCGUGGGCUCCUACUGGAUUGAUACCUUGGUUCUCAAAAACUGAGGGAAAUACUUACACUACUCUGCUGCAUCAUCCUUUCCUCUUCGGGGAAAUCCAACGCAAGCUCAAGAGGUAGCAAGGUUUUGAUGCUACUCGUCAUCUUGUUUCCAACAAACUUGAGUUUGCUCAAUUCGGAGCUCAUAUGCAGAAGUUAUGGCAGUUCUGGUUUUCCAUAGAGUAUACUUGCUUUUGUGGAAGUGGCAUAAGGAUGGCGCCAGCGGUAGUACCGCUGGGCCGGAGCGGCAGUACCGCUUAUCGCCACAAACGGUAGUACCGCUGUCCCACAGCAGUAGUACCGCCCAUGGCCAUAAGCGGUAUUACGGCUCCGGUUUCGCGUUGGUACCGCCUCAACUCAAGACGUGGUUUUCUCGUGUCGGGUUCAGCGGCAGUAGGAGCGGUAGUACCGCUCAUGUGCGGUAGUACCGCGGCUACCACCGCCCCUAGUACCGCUCAAUGGCCCUCCUCCCUGUUCCUUCUCCAUGUGCUCGUGGUAGGCGCUAUGCGUGGUCCCAGCGGUAGUACCGCUGACUCCAGCGGUAGUGUCGCUCAUACGGCUCUGCCUCGCACUCUGUUUCGGUCCGCUCAUACGGCUCAUACGGCUCUGCCUCGUGCGCGGACUGAGCACAUAACGAUUGGAUUCGGGAGCUCCUAUAAAAGGGAGUCUUCUUCCCCAUUCAACCUUAUCCUUUGAGCUCAUGUUCUUCCCCCAUUGUUGACCUUCUUCGAGCUUGCUAACUCUCAAUCCCUCCAUGGAUUAUUGCUAGUUUUUGAGGGAAAAGAGAGAGGAGAUCUAGAUCCACAUUUCCACCAAUCACUUUCUCCUCUUUGUGAGGGGAACCCCUUAGAUCUAGAUCUUGGAGUUCUUGGUGCUCUCCUUCUUGUUAUUCCUCUCAUUUUCUUCCCUAGCAUUAGUUGCUUUGGUGGGAUUUGAGAGAGAAGGACUUGGGCACUCCGUGUGCCCUUUCCAUUACAUUUGGUGCAUCGGUUUGAGUUCUCCAUGGUGAUACGUGGAAGUUACAAGUUGAGAAGCUUAUUACUCUUGGGUGCUUGGUACCAUUGAGCUUGUUCCUCUUGGGUGCUUGGGCACCCUAGACGGUUGGUGGUGUUCGGAGCUCAAUCAUUGUGGUGUAAAGCUCUGGGCAAGCGUCGGGGUCUCCAAUUAGGUUCUGGAGAUCGCCCCGAGCAAUUUGACGGGUACCGGUGACCGCCCCCAAGGGUUGCCAAAGUGUACGGGUUCGGUGACCGCCCCCAAGGGUUGCCAUUUGUACGGGUUCGGUGACCGCCCUCAAGGUUCCCUUAGUGGAAUCACGGCAUCUUGCAUUGUGCGAGGGCGUGAGGAGAUUACGGUGGCCCUAGUGGCUUCUUGGGGAGUAUUGUGCCUCCACACCGCUUCAAACGGAGAUUAGCAUCCGCAAGGGUGUGAACUUCGGGAUACAUCAUCGUCUCCGCGUGUCUCGGUUAUCUCUUACCCGAGCCCUUUACUUAUGCACUUUACUUUGUGAUAGCCAUAUUGUUCUUUGUCAUAUAUCUUGCUAUCACAUAGUUGCUUAUCUUGUUUAGCAUAAGUUGUUGGUGCACAUAGGUGAGCCUAGUUGUUUCAGGUUUUGUGCUUGGCAAAUUAACCGCUAGGUUUAUUCCGCAUUUGUUCAAGUCUAAACCGUAAUUAUUUUGAAGCGUCUAUUCACCCCUCCACCCCUCUAGGCGACAUCCACGAUCUUUCACCAACUCUGAAACAAUCCACAAUUAGCGGACAAAAGUCUCAACAUCCUCCAGGGGAGAGUCGGCAAAACACAUUACAAAUAGAGAUGCCAGCAUACAAAUAGACCAAUUUAAGGGCUCCUUUAAUUCAAAGAAAUUGCAUACAACUUCUGUAGGAUUGGAUCCUACUAGAAUUUUUCUUAUCUUUGUACUACUUCCUAUAGGAAAUCUAGCAAUCACUACAAUCUCCGUUUAGAAUUUCUUUGAUGGAAUCUAAAGAAUUUGGUUGCAUACAAAAUCCUGUAGGAUUUGAGCAGGUAAGACACUGCAAUCCCCCUAUCCUAUGAAUUCUCAUAAACGCGGAGUGUUAGAAACAAGAGAUUCUUAUCAAAGUGUACAACCUACUAAAACUGUCUUCAGUUUCCGCUCAUUAGAAAAUCAUCUUGCUGAAGAGAGAAUUCCUUAUUUAACACUGUCUAAAGCUUUGUUUUCUCUAUUUGGCACUGAAAAAAGAGAUAUUUCUUCCCUAUCUAACACAACCUUUAAAUUUUGUUCCCAAUAUAACAAUUUUUUUUCAUGCAAACAAUGCUAAAUGACAUGAAAUGACAAACAUCUAUUCAAUCCUUUUCUCUAUUCCAGUGUCUUAUUUAAGGCUGGAGUCCACGGUUAGUGUAACAGAAUAACACAAAAGGUUCAAGUACGUUGUCUUAUUUAAGGGAACCGUUGUGUAGCACAAGCAAGGCCAAAGGCUCAAGUACGUACAUACAUACGCAGCUAGAGACGAGCACGUUCUUCUUCUAGGGUACGCUGAUGGUUAUCGAAAGCUGGCUAGACUCUGCACCUUCGUUCCUGACAAGCAGACUCCUCACGGACUGCUCAGGAACACUUUCCUUGAAUAAAGCUCUUGAAUGUUGCCUGCAAAAAAAAAAGUUAAUCAAGUUGCCUGUGUAUUUCUGAGCUCGCACGGCGUGCGCUGCAUUUGAGUGAAUCGAUCUAGCAUUCUAAAAUCAACACUCCACCACGGGCUCGCCCAACACCCGCCCGCUCUCGUCCGCUGUGCUUUGGUCGCCCCUGGUGGGAGCUCCUAUUCGGUGCUCCAGGCGCCAGGGAAGCUCACGCGCUGGCACAGGUGGGCCGGCCCAUGUACACAUUCACAUUGGAGAAAAAAUGAAAAAAAGAACAGGAAAAAACAUGAAAAACCAAAAGAAAACAUGAGUUCAAAAAAGUUCAUGGAUUUUUAAAAAAUCUUAAACUUGAAGAAAAAGCUCAUCAAUUUGAAAAGAAGUUCAUAAAUUUAUCUUAAAACACCAUUGAAUUUGAAAAAAAUAACAAAAAAGUUUAUCGAUUUUGAAAAAAGUUCACCUAUUUUUAAAAAAUCAUCAUUUUUGCAAAACUUUCUACUCUCUCUCUCUCGGUUUACAGGGCGUGCGCGCACUCCUAGGUCAUCAAUUUGACCAAACUAAUACAAGUCAUAUAUUACAAAAAAUAUACCAAUAUAAACUUUGGAGUUUCUACUCUCAAAAUGUAUAAUUUUUGUGUUAUAUACUCCCUUCAUUCCUAAAUAUUUGUCUUUCUAGAAAUUUCAAAUGGACUACCACAUACGGAUGCAUAUACACAUAUUUUAGAGUGUAGAUUCACUCAUUUUGCUCCGUAUGUAGUCACUUAUUGAAAUCUCUAAAAAGACAAAUAUUUAGGAACAAAGGGAGUAGUUUAUAUUAGGGUGAUAAAAUUGGCAACCUAGGUAUACGCGCAGGACUUGUAAAUUGAAACGGAGGUAGUAUAAAAAUCAACAAUUUAAAAAAAAAGGUCAUCAAUUCUAUAAAAAGUUCUUAAAAUUGAAAAAAAAAUCAUCAUUUUAAAUAAAAAAAACUUCACCAAUUCUGAGAAAAGUUCACGAAAUUUAAGUAAAAAAGAAAAAAAUAGCUAAAUGGGCCGGCCCAGCUUAGAGGGCUUCAUGAGCUCGUUUGCAAAAUGAACAGUAACGAACCCAUGAAGCACCAAAUAGGUGCGAAGGAAAUGAGUGACCUGACCUGAUUGGUGCUUCUAGUGCCAGGGGUAAACUUGUCAUUUCACGUGUUAUAUGGGGAACAGGAUUUCAACCGAAUUUUUUAUUAUUAAUAAUUAAUAACCCAAUAAUUUGGAAACUAGUGACGGGGAAGUGGAAAUUUUAAAAAUAGUAAGGACGCUAAGUACAAUGGCGUCCACAGCUGGAUACUAUCGAGGAUAGCGUCCAGGUCUGGACGCUAUUAGUAAGUGCGUCCAGUCAAGUGAUUCGCCUAACCAUCAGAUUCGACUAAACCGGGUCUUUCCUAAUGACAGACAGAAGUUACGCGAGGUUUAAAACCCUAGUACGCAUGCAGUCUGCGCUCCUGGAACUCGCCGUAUGGUAAGCAAUCUCUGGCAGCCGGCAACACCGAUCAUCACAGGAGCGGCAAGGUCUCAUCAGCCGCUCGCCAUUAGGAUCCUCCAAUUGACUUUGUGCUUGAUUCAUGUUAGUUGUUGUACUGUCCUACUGAAUCUCCUUUGUUUUAAUCUUUAUGCAAUUGAUUCAAUGAUUUACAAGCAGACACUCUAUAAAUGAUUGGAUUGGUAUUCCUGAAUUACAAUCCUUAAUUGGGUGGUUUGUGAGAAGCCAAAUUUUCAGUCGUGAGUCUAUGGUAGAUCAAUUUAAAAUUGUGAUAUUCACUUGCUGCACGUUCAUGUUUGUAGGUGCAUAUAAGAAUAUGUUAAUCGUUCUGGUUUACGUGGAUGGUGAAGUGCAACAUGGGUCCAUGAGUGUGGAGUAUACUAUUCCUCCCAAGUUAACAUUUCCAGCAUCCGAGAAUACCACUUUUGAAGAUAUCAAGAGUGAGACAUGUCGAGGACUUGCACAUGUUAAUGUCAGUGCUCAAACGAACCUGAAUAUCCAAGCUUGCUUUGAUAUUGGAGCUCCUGGACCACAUUAUUUUCAGUUAAUUCCAAUAUAUGAGGAAAGAGGGUGGAACAUGAUUUUUGAGAAGACCAAGUCCCGGACAACGUGGCAAGUGAUAGAGUUAUAUGUUAACAUCACGCCAAAUCAAGACAUGUUGAGCCAAGUCAGCGGUGGAAGCAACAUACCAAUAAUUGAAAGGCACUUACAAAGGUAUGGAAGUGCAGUGCACUCGUCAUUGCAUCAAACAUCUGCCAGUGGUUUUCCAAAUUCUAGUUCGUGUGGUCUUGAUUUCGACAUGGCACAUGCUCCAUCUUCUACUCAUGGUACUGUGACAAAUGAUUUUCCAACAGGUACUGUCAAUGACCCAUAUGAUCAGGAGGAUACAGAGACAGAGGAGGAUUUUAUGGGACAUGAUGAUGAUGAGCAUGAUUCCGAUGCCGCACCUAGCCAGAGUUCAGACGAAGAUCCAGAACCAAGCGUUAUGCAUCAUGUUAAUGCAUUUCCAUUCAUGCGUACAUGUGGACAGAAUGGCGUGAGAGCCUUUGGUGACAUAUCUAUACUAACGGAGACGACAGCAGAUGAAAGUUUUUUUGGAUGCAAGAAGCACUUUCAAAGCCCAUUGUCAGAGCAGCAAAUUUUUGAUUCAAAAGAGCACCUCAAAAUUGCGAUUGGUGAAUUUCACAUAAACAUGAACUUGAAAGUGAAGUCCAACACAAGCAGUCAAUCUAAACUUGUAGCAGAGUGUAUUGAUGACAGUUGCAUGUGGAGGUUGUAUGCAAUACCAACAAAAAUUGGUUCAUGUUGGCAAAUAAGGAAAUGUCCUUAUUCUCACACUUGUCGUGCACCGGCUAAUAGAACUGACCAUUCUCAGUUAUCGGCCUCUAUAAUUGCAGAUGUGAUUCGUGAAGCACUCAAGGAUGACCUAGAGUUAAGUAUAAAAAAUGUGCGGGCAUUGGUCAAACACCGUUACAGAAAUGUGAGACCAUCAUACAAUAAGUUGUGGCGUGGAAGGGAGAAGGCCAUAGCAUAACUUUUUGGUAGCUGGGAAGGAUCAUACAAUCUUCUCAUCCCCUUCCUCGAGGCUAUUAGAGUAAAAAAUCCAGGUACAAAGUAUGUUCUUCUAUCAAAACCCAUGACAUUAGAAGGGCAUAGAGAAUUUCGAUGUGUUGCUUGGGCAUUUGGACCUUGCAUUGCAGCAGUUCCCCACCUUCGACCUGUAAUAAGUGUGGAUGCAUCAUUUCUAUCAGGAAGAUACAAGGGCCGGUUGAUAAUGGCUUGCGGAUAUGAUGCUAAUAAUAAGUUAAUACCUCUUGCAUUUGCCAUUGUUGAGAAAUAGGACGCUACGAACUGGGGCUGGUUCAUGAGAUGGUUGCGGAGGGAGGUAAUUGGUGUUGGAAAGUUCAUGUGUGUGAUUUCAGAUCGCCACAAAGCAAUCAAAUGGGUGUUUAAGCAACCACACCUUGGGUGGAAUGAAAGUGCUGGCGAGUGUGUGCAUCGCUUUUGCUCUCAACAUGUCGUAGAGAACCUAUACAAAGCUUUUUGUGAUGAUGACAUUUUGAAAAUUUUCAAGUGGGCAGUCAAGAAAAAGAAACCUCGUAGGUUUGAGGAGGGCAUGUCAUCUAUUGAACAUACUUGUCCCGAUGCAACAACAUAUCUUAGAAAGGUCGGUAAGUAUUUGCAGGAAGAUAAAAAUGAGCAAGAGAAGCCUGAGAAAGUAUUUCAAUGCAAGGAUGGGGGUUACCGGUGGGGGAUCAUGACAAGCAAUGGGUCGGAGUCCUUAAACAAUGUGCUUAGGCUUUCCCGAAGGCUACCGGUGGCAGCAAUUGUGGAGGAGACAUUUUCAAAGUGCUUAGAGUGGUUUGUAGAAAGAAGGCGAAGUGCUCUUAACUUGGUUGACGGAGGCAACCAAUGGUCCGAACGGGUGGACAAACUAUUAGUUAAAAGGGGCGACAAGGCAGGACAUAUGCAUGUUAUUUCAUAUGGUGAUGAAGUUGGAAUAUUUGAGGUCAAGGUUGAUAAUGAGAGGGUUGCAUUACACAAUGGAGAUCAUGUUCUUUUUAUUCAUAAAGACUUUAAGUACAAGGUCACUCUGCAACCAAAUACUUCUUCAUCUUGUGACUGCCUAAAGCCAAACCUGACCGAUGUGCCAUGUGCUCAUUUGCUUGCUGUUUGCAAGUACAGGAAUCUAAAUGAAAAUCAAAUAGUUCAUUCAUAUUAUUCCUCUGAAGUACUUGCAAACACUUGGGCUGGACAAUUUCAUCCUUACGGGAACCAAAAUGAGCAAACACUUGGGCCCAUUAUUAUUCUUCAGGAUACUCCACUAGAUAAACCUCAGUAAAUCAUAUUCUCUCUCAGUAUGAGCUAUGCUUACGAAACCAAUGAGAAAUCAUUAAAGCUGCUGCAUCAACAAUAUCAAUCAUUUACUGUCAACUACAUACUCAGCACGGUUCAUUCCACAUAAGGAGAUGGAAGUGCUGAACACUAAGUAGCUAGACAACAACAAUAAGCCACACAUGACAUACUGACAAAUGCAGCUAUGCAGCAACGAUGAAUUCAAAAGGAUCAUCCACACAGUGGAAAACGUAGCAAAUACAGUCAUCCAUCAGCAUCUGAUUUAGAAUCAUGGAAAUGACGCAAUCAUAAGCACACUCACCAUAAUAAACCAGAUUUUGAAGGUUCUCUUUGCUAACUUUCUUAAAUACAUUGCUUUUAAUCUCGGCAAAAUUAUUGGACACCAAAAGAGCCAAUAGUGCAUUGUUAUGUUCAGGAAUAGACUUUUUUUCACUCAGUAUCAAUGUCAAUCUAUUAAUCAGAAGAAGAGACAAAUACCAUGCAAGAAAUAGAAGAUAUUUUCUAGCAUCUAUUGUAGUGUUGGAGAGGAAGAACAUACAGCUUCAGGGGAAAAGUACAGAGCCUACCAUCCUGUGCUCCGGCGGGUGAUGAUUGAGGCUGUGAGGAAUGCUGGGACGAGGAACGGAACAGUUGUGCUGACCGCGGUCGAGAGAAGAGAGAAGGGCCGUCAACUCCGUCAAACUCGCCGUGGUGGCGCAACCUAGUUUGACAGAGGUGGGAGGCUACCACGAGGUGUUCUAGGGGAUGACAGGGAGGCGGCCUUGAGGAGGUGGGCGAGAGAUGAGGUGGAGGGCGGCGGCGGCAGCGGUGGCCAAGGGGGCGAUGGGCCGAAGUUGCUGGAUAGGAGCCCAGCCUAAACGUGGACGUGAUUGAUGCUAGCGUCCAGUCCAGGACGUCGCUUAUACUAGCGUCCGUGCAUGGACGCCGUAAUGCCUAGCGUCCUUACUAUUUCUAAAAAAUGUAAUUAUCCUUUCCUCGUUUCAUAAUUCCGUGAUUACUAAUUACUAUUAAUAAAAAAUUCGGGGAUUUCAAAGUAGGUAUUAAAUAAGGAAGAAAUAUUUCUUCAGAGUCAAAUAGGGAAACGAAAUUUAAAACUGUGUUAAACAAGGAAUUCUUUCAUUGCACAAAGGGAGGUCAAAACAGUGUUUCCUAUUAGACGUGUAAAGAAUAGCUAUAUUUUUUGCAGGGGCAAGAAAUGGCUAUAUGUGAAGAUGCUUUGUACUAGGAAGGCGCUAUUAACAGAUGCUCAUACAGUUAACACAUAACAAAUCAAGAUAUUAGGUCUCUGAAAGAAAUGGAUGCUGUAAUGGGGGUAUGGGCUCCAAGUUCACACCGUGGGCUCCAAGUUCACACCAUGGGCUCCAAGUUCACACCGUGGCAGGGCUUUCUGAAAACAUAUAACAAUCGCAGGUACAAAACCCAGACAAGCUACAUAACUGAAUAAACAGCAGAGUACCAAGUAAUCAAACAAAGGCACCAGACUCAUGUAUAAAAAUCUUAAAAAGAUUGGUCUUCUCAAAAUAGAAACCACGGGCUAAAGAUAGUGUCAACACAAUGGCCAUAGCUCUAUAGGUACGGACUGGUAAUACAGGACUUUGCUUCCGGAUAAAAUUCACCAGCUAGCCAAGUUCUAUUUCUUCUUGUCACCAGCACCACCACCAGCAGACCUGCAUAUCAUGAGACAACAUUUUAGUCAUUUAUAAAACAACCGUUGCAGCAAAACAGAAUGGCAACUAUUUUUUCCUGAAUGUAGAAGACAUUAAAUUGGUCAGGCAAAAGAAAAAACUAAAGAACUACAAGAAAAUAGAAACAUGAUUAUGCUGAAGAUUGCAUUGUAUAUGCAACACCGAAAACCCUACCAUCUUCCAAGUGGGAACUGCUGUCUACAACCUAUACUACUUGACAUGGAGAAAAGCCACAUCUACAAAUUAAAAAAAAUAUUGGAAGAAUUGUUGAGUGCAUAGGCAAUAAGCAACAACUGAACGCCUAGAGACAAGAUAGGCACUAGGCAGAGAUUAAAAAAAAUGGAAUUUAGACCUAGCGCUUUAUUUAAGCUUUGGCUGGAAGCCAUCACAGCAUUUCUUAAUUGAAAGAUUUUUUUUGUCUUCAAUUCACUUAUAAACCAAACAAAUUCAUAAUUCUCCUACUACUAGAGGAUGCACUAUGCACUAAUGCUCUAGGUAACUACGUAGUCCAGAACAAAAAGGAAAACUGAAUAAUAGGGCAGCAGAGUCAAAUAAUGUUCAUAAUAUAAAUGUUAAGUCUAGUUGUUACACACCUCAUCUUCCUAAGGACACUUGACAUCUCCUCUCUCUUCUUCUUUGCUCUCUUGUGAGUACCAAGCUUUCUCUUGGCGACCUUGAGUGCACGCUUGUCCUUUCCAACCUUAAGAAGCUCAGUGAUACGCUUCUCAUAGGGAGCAAAUCCAGCAACCUCCCUGAUCAAGUUCCUGACAAAAUGCACCCUCUUUGUACCUUUCUGCAAAAUAUGCGAACAUAACAAUGUAAGGAUAACUGCAAACUGAUAGACAUGCUAUAAUAAUUCAGCUGAGCAUAUAGGAGCAUGUAAGUGCAGAGUUAACUUUGUUUCAGUUUCACACAAGUUACAAUUCCUUAAAAAAAAGCCAACUAGAAUAGCCGAAUAACAAUUUGGUCCCAAACUCAGCAAGGUUCUAUUUUACUUUUAACACGACUUGACAACAGUUGUAAAUAAUAUCAAGAAAGGAAGGUGAUCUGAAUCUGCAUUGGCUAUUACUUAAAUGCAGAAAUACAACAGGCCUGUGUAGGUAAUCAAGCCCAAUACAGAAUCCAGAUUUACACAUGAAAACAAGAGGCUAUCAAUGCUGCCAAGUUACACAAGGCCAUGGUUAUGCAUCGAACAAUAUGAGAAUUAAGACUAAUACUAGAUGGCAUUGAAAACUGCAUUAACAACUAUUUACAGAUGAAUAUUGCAAUAUCCCUCAAAAAGGUGUGUAGCACAGUCAGUGAUACUUUAGAAAUGAAAAUACAAGGUACUUGAUUGAGCGGCCACAUUUCACCAACAACUAUAGACCUCCAGGACUAGCAACUUAGGACUUCUUAAAUAUCAAAAAUGCCAAAGGUGUGUUGAUGCAUCAUUACAUCACUGCAGACACAAGGCUGCUCUCAAUCUUGUAGAAUUUUUAUCAGUUCUCAAUUCGGCGAGCUUCCAUGCAAUACAAGGUACACCUCACAGAUAUUUACCCCGACUACUUUUACCCUUUAGUAGCAUCAACCAUACUAUGCUACAGUGUUCUUAACAUCAAGCUCACCACCCUUUUCUUGAUCAUAACUACAACAGACACGAAAAUAAUACUAAACCUAGUAGACUAAAACAACGGAACUACCGAGCAAACACAGAUCUAGAGAACAGUCCGAGGCCAGUACAAUCUAAAUGGGCAGAUCAAGCGGGCACUGAGAACAAAUCAGAAGACGCAUAUGGGCAGGAGAAGGAGGAUAUCGGAGGUUAGAGACGGCUUAUUACCCCCUUGCGGUCGGACGGGCGAGGCGGCAGCUCGCGCUUGGUGACGACGUGGCCCUUGUUGAUGCCCACGAAGAGCCCUGACUUGGGCUGCGACGGCGCCAUGGCCGGACUCCCACUCGCUCCUGCUAACCUGCAACGGACGCACGCAAGGUUACGAGUGAUCUGACACAAGAUUCAUGGUGCGGGCGGCGGCGCUGCUUGCAGGCUUACGUUGAGAAUGGAUGCAAGUGAAACCCUAAUCCGCCGCCAGCGCCCGGGAAGAAACCCUAAGCUGCGUGAGGCAGGAUCUUAUAUAUGGCCAGGGCGUGAAAUCUCUCCACGCUAGACUGAUGGGCCUGUCUUCGUGGGCUUACUCGGCUUGUUUUGCUCACCUUAUGGAUAGGCCCACUUUUGUGCGUGUGUAAGUUGUUAGCGCAAAAUGCAGUAUUUGAUGCCAAAAAAAAAAUUUACAGUGUUUGAUUUGCUAAAAAAAAUGCAGUAUUUGAUCAUUUGAACAACAUAUAAAUGCGGUGUUUCUGCUAUGUUAGCUAGGAGCCAAAACAUUAUCUUUACUUUUAGAGAAAGGAAGAAAAUACAUUAUUUACCGCAAAAAGAUACAAUACACACACCACGGUGAAAACAAAAUGUCACACGAACCGAUAACAAAAUUGUCAGCCUUUUUUCAUAUGAGUGCGCCUAAAACUCAGCCUACUCAGUCAAGUGAUGUCAUCCCAUGAGUUAAUACUAUGUAAACAUUUUUGUAUUGGUUGAUUUUUUCACUCACUUGCAACUGAGAAAACCUCAGUGGCUUCCUGCUUACAACUCCUAUGGCAAUGCAAAUCUGAUUGUUCUAGAAUUGAUAAAGAUCUAUCUGGAUUCUUUGUCGGUUGAGAAUUAACAAAAUCGUUUUCAUAUUCAUAGUGUUCCCAGGCUUUUUUUGUGUGGGCGAAGAACACCGUAUGUAAAGACCAUCGACCAGGACACAUAUGUUGUCGCGACACUCGAUGGCACGUAAAAGAAGGUCGAGACCCUAGAGUGCAACAAACGUUGAUACCACCAAUAUGUAAGAAUAUGAGUCUCCUCCAACAUACCUCAAGUACCUCGCUGAUUUUCAGGCGACACUAGAGAGGGCACCACAAGUACGGGUAGCCAGGGAUGACUCAAAAGGACGGUUAAUAUGUGAGAUGAUGUCUCUUUGCCAUGGUGAUGCAUCCGACUACUAGUGUCUUGGACUAUGUGAGCCACGAUGGUAUAACAGAGAGCUAGACCACCAUUUUCCGUCACACUAGUGCUGAUCGUUGUGCAUCCAUAUGAGGUGAAACAAGUGACUUCUGGUUCUUGACAAUCUAAACUAAACAUACGUCCGAAGAGAAAAUGGCUUGGGCGACCCGGUCAUUUUCUUUGUGAAUGUCUGCUCGAUUUAAUCUGCUCCCCAGAGUUCAAUUACUGUACGCUCCACUCUGCGGUCCACUCUUCGUCUCAGAUACAGACCGCGUUCCGGUUGUCCGGNNNNNNNNNNNNNNNNNNNNNNNNNNNNNNNNNNNNNNNNNNNNNNNNNNNNNNNNNNNNNNNNNNNNNNNNNNNNNNNNNNNNNNNNNNNNNNNNNNNNNNNNNNNNNNNNNNNNNNNNNNNNNNNNNNNNNNNNNNNNNNNNNNNNNNNNNNNNNNNNNNNNNNNNNNNNNNNNNNNNNNNNNNNNNNNNNNNNNNNNNNNNNNNNNNNNNNNNNNNNNNNNNNNNNNNNNNNNNNNNNNNNNNNNNNNNNNNNNNNNNNNNNNNNNNNNNNNNNNNNNNNNNNNNNNNNNNNNNNNNNNNNNNNNNNNNNNNNNNNNNNNNNNNNNNNNNNNNNNNNNNNNNNNNNNNNNNNNNNNNNNNNNNNNNNNNNNNNNNNNNNNNNNNNNNNNCCCUUUUGCAUAAAACAUGUGCUGCUAAAACUAAAUUUUUGAUACAUCUACACCGGCGUACCAGGAUCUAAGGCUAACUAUGUCUUUUGCAUGAUCAUUUCCUUUGGGGAAACCCGCCGAGACCCUCGACGCCACCAUAUGCUACAACAAACAGCGAAGACCCUCCCCCGACUCUUCGAGGCACCCAGAGGCUCAGAGGCUACACCUAGUGGGUGCGUUGGCGCGCCUCCACUAGAAGAAAGGUGCGCCAGCUGAGGCCCGCAGACAGUUGUCAUCUGCAACCUCAGAGAUACGACAACAAAGACCCUCCGUCCAACUCUUCAAGUCACCCGGAGGCUCGGAGGCUACUGUCGGGGGAUGAACCCCGGCUAGUCCCAAGACGGUGAGCCGGGUCGGUUGCUCCGGCUGGCCGACUACCUGAAGUCAACUACAACGUCUCAUUGUACAUGUGUGGACGAGACAGCCAUACCCUGUGGCGGGGCAAUGUUGAUGGAUAGCAGACACUAUGCACACGUCAUGCAUGUUAGACUACCUGGGUCAUCCCUUGUCCCUUGGACACCAGUUUAUAAGUGAGGGAGUCCUGGACUAAGGGGUCCUCGGGUGUCUGGCCUGUUAGCCAUGGACCGGACUGAUGGGCUGUGAAGAUACAAAGACCGAAGACUCUACCCGUGUCCGGAUGGGACUCUCCUUGGCGUGGAAGGCAAGCUUGGCGACCAACUAUGAAGAUUCCUUUCACUGUAACCGACUUUAUGUAACCCUACAUCCCUCUGGUGUCUAUAUAAACCGGAGGGCUAGAUCCUUAGAGGGGAACGAUGAUAAUCAUAAUCUGAUAGGCUAGACUUCUAGUGUUUUAGCCAUUACGAUCUCAUGGUAGAUCAACUCUUAUAACCCCCAUACUCAUUAAUAUUAAUCUAGCAGGACGUAGGGUUUUACCUCCAUCGAGAGGGCCCGAACCUGGGUAAACAUUGUGUUCCCUGUCUCCUGUUACCAUCAACCUCAGACGCACAGUUCGGGACCCCCUACCCGAGAUCCGCCGGUUUUGACACCGACAUUGGUGCUUUCAUUGAGAGUACCGCUGUGUCGCCGCCAAGAGGUUCGAUGGCCCCGUCAAUCAUCCACAACAACAUUAUCCCGGGAGAAACCUUCCUCCCGGAUAGAUCUUCGUGUUCGGCAGCUUCGCACUGCGGGCCAACUCGCCUGGCCAUCUAGAGCAGAUCGAUAGCUACGCCCCUGGCCACCAGGUCAGAUUUGGAAGCUUGAACUAUGUCGUGGACAUACGCGGAGACUUGAUCUUCGAUGGAUUCGAGACCGCGGCAGUAGCCGCUCCCUGUCACCACGAUGAACAUGACUUAAAUCUGUCAUCGAACCACACCCAGGAGAUGGAACCUACAACCGCUCCGGCUCUAGAUCCGGAGCAGAUCACACCAUCUGAGGACGGGAGGCUCAGCCCCGCCACGAGGCCGCAGACUCAGUGGCGUUGGAGCCGCACACAGACCCAACAUCAAGUGAGAUCUGUGUUGCCAGAACCUCAGACACGUUUGCGGCUACAGGUUCCGAGGCAUGUGCGUCCGCGCACAACGAGCUUGAUCGGGCGUCGAUUGUUGAAUUCAGCUCCGUGGACAUCUUCUGGCACUCACCUUUAGACGAUGUGCUAAACUCAUUAAAAACACUCUCCUUAGCGGGGGACUCACAACCGAAUUAUAUCCGGUUUGAACUGGAGGCCGAUGACGGAGAAUUUCGCUUCCCACCCCCGCCCACUUAAUAGCCACUGUCAAAGACCUAACUGACAUGCUCGAUUACGGCUCCGACGACAUCGAUGGUAUGGACGACGAUGCCGGAGAAAGAAGAGGCCCAAAACCCGCAGUUUACCGGACGCUGGACUAUCACUUUCUCGUAUGACGUAUACAUGGUGGAUGCACCAAAAGAGAAUAGCGGCGAUGACAAGGAAGAUCCGGUUGAGGAUAAACCUCCCGAGAUACAACCAAAGCGCCGGCGUCAGCGGCGCCACUCUAAGUCACACCGCAGCAAAGACAGCAGCACCGACACAUGAGAAGAUAAUACUCCGGACUAUGCCGGAGAAAAUGAAGACCCCGUUGAGGCAACUCAAACAAAAUGAACAGAAAGACAUGCAAGUUAGCCCUGGUGAACAGGCCACACAUGAAGACUCGGAGGACAGUAAUUAUCUUCCGCUCUUCGAGGAUGAGGCGAGCCUCGGCACUGAGGAUUUUAUCGUGCCUGAGGAACCUCUCGAGCAGGAGUGCUUCAAGCGCCAGCUAAUUGCCACUGCAAGGAGCCUGAAAAAGAAGCAGCAACAGCUUCAAGCUGAUCAAGACCUGCUCAAUGAUAAUGGACUAACAUCCUGGAAGCCGAGGAAUACGGCCUCAAGCGACCACUCAAAAGUUACCCGAAGCGCAAAUUACUACCUCAAUUCGAUGACUGAUAUGUCUCCAACGUAUAUAUAAUUUUUGAUUGCUCCAUGCUAUUAUAUUAUCUAUUUUGGAUGUUAAUGGGCUUUAUUUUACACUUCUAUAUCAUUUUUGGGACUAACCUACUAACGGAGGCCCAGCCCAAAUUGCUGUUCUUUGCCUAUUUUAGGGUUUCGAAGAAAAAGAAUAUCAAACAGAGUCCAAAUGGAAUGAAACCUUCAGGAACGUGAUUUUCUCAACAAACGUGAUCCAGGAGACUUGGAGUGGCCGUCAAGAAACAAGGGAGGAAGGCACGAGGCAGGGGGCGUGCCCUCCAUCCUCGUGGGCCCUCCGUUGCUCCACUGACGUACUUCUUCCUCCUAUAUAUAUCCACGUACCCCCAAACAUCCAGGAGCACCACGAAAACCUAAUUCCACCGCCGCAAAACUACUAGGAAAAAGCCUAGUAGUAGCGCGGGUGCCUGCGCUACUACUACGGCACUACAGCUAACUAGUAGUAGUAGCGCGGUGCAUCCUGUGUUACUACUACUAACUAUCUAUAGCGCGUGUCUGUGACCCGCGCUACUACUAUUAAUUUAAAAAACCAAAAAAAAUCUUGACCCCGUGCAUGUUGUCAAUGGUUCGGUUGACGGCGCCGACGGCCAUGAUGACGGGCGGUGGCCCGCGGCGAUGCGCAUGUUAGCCGGGAGCAGGGAGAUCUCGGCCAUGACGCGUGCCUCGUGGAGGCCGCGGAGGCCAGCUGGGCAUGGGCCGUGAGCUGGAGGACCUGGAUCUUGGCGUCGUGUGUGGGGAGCAGCACCUCGUGGCAGCCGUCGCCGUUGAGGUCGGCGAAGAGCGGCGGAGGAGGAAGGGGAUGGGUCAGCUAGGGUUCGGAUUGAAUCAAAGAGUGGGAGGAGGAGGGCUAGCCUAGAGCGAGAAGAAGACGACGAAGGCGGCGAGGAGGAGGUUGCCGAGGUCAUGCUUCCGCAUCUUGGCAGCGGCGAGGAGCUCCGGCGACCUCCCAUCAGAGGGAUCUCGGAGAGGGAGGGGGAAGAAAGCAGAGUGUACCAACGACGGCCACCGUUGGAGUACGAGGGAGAGAGGAGGAAAGUGAGAGAGGGGGAAAGUGAGGGAGAGAGGAGGGAUUCGGCCGAGGAUGUGUGGAUUUCACCUACCUCGUACUUAGUAGUAGCAAGGGGUAUAAAACCGCGGUAGUACUAUCAACUUAGUAGUAGCGCGGGUUUGUACCCCUCGCUACUACUAUGGCAUGUCCCGGGAGGGCACGGUAGAGACCGCUUAGUAGUAGCGCGGGUUAAAAACCCGCGUUACUAGUAUCAACUUAGUAGUAGCGAGGGGUAAAAACCCGCGCUACUACUAAGUAGGAGUAGCGAGGGUUAUAAACCCGCACUACUAGUAAGCGUCUGCGUAUAAGUUUUUCCCUAGUAGUGCAACCUUCUGUACUCGAGAGAUCCCAUCUCGGGGCCUUUUCCGGAGCUCCACCGGAGGGGGCAUUAAUCAUGGAGGGCCUCUACAUCAACUCCAUGGCCUCUCCGGUGAUGUGUGAGCAGUUUACUUCAGACCUACGGGUCCAUAGUUAUUAGCUAGAUGGCUUCUUGUCUCUCUUUGGAUCUCAAUACAAAGUUCUCCUCGAUUUUCUUGAAGAUCUAUUCGAUGUAAUCUUCUUUUGCGGUGUGUUUGUCGAGAUCCGAUGAAUUGUGGGUUUAUGAUCCAGAUUAUCUACGAACAAUAUUUAAUUCUCCUCUAAAUUCUUUUAUGUAUGAUUGGUUUAUCUUUGCAAGUCUCUUCGAAUUAUCAGUUUGGUUUGGCCUACUAGAUUGAUCUUUCUUGCAAUGGGAGAAGUGCUUAGCUUUGGGUUCAAUCUUGCGUUGUUUGAUCCCAGUGACAGAAAGGGAACCGAUACGUAUUGUAUUGUUGCCAUCGAGGAUAAAAAGAUGGGGUUUAUAUCAUAUUGCAUGAGUUUAUCCCUCUACAUCAUAUCAUCUUCCUUAAAGCAUUACUCUGUUCUCUUGAACUUAAUACUCUAGAUGCAUGCUGGAUAGCGGUCGAUGUGUGGAGUAAUAGUAGUAGAUGCAGGCAGGAGUCGGUCUACUUGUCUCAGACGUGAUGCAUAUAUACAUGAUCAUACCUAGAUAUUCUCAUAACUAUGCUCAAUUCUAUCAAUUGCUCGACAGUAAUUCGUUCACCCACCGUAAUACUUAUGCUCUUGAGAGAAGCCACUAGUGAAACCUAUGCCCCCCGGGUCUAUCUUUCAUCAUAUUAAUCUUCCAAUAUUUAGUUAUUUCCUUUGCCGUUUAUUUUACUUUGCGUCUUUAUUUCUCUUUAUCAUAAAAAUACCAAAAAUAUCAUCUUAUCAUAUCUAUCAGAUCUCACUCUCAUAAGUGACCGAGAAGGGCUUGACAACCCCUUUAUCGCGUUGGUUGCGAGGUUCUCUAUUUGUUUGUGUAGGUGCGUGGGACUUGAGCGUGAUCUCCUACUGGAUUGAUACCUUGGUUCUCAAAAACUGAGGGAAAUACUUACGCUGCUUUACUGCAUCACCCUUUCCUCUUCAAGGGAAAACCAACGCAGUGCUCAAGAGGUAGCAAUGACGAGGCACUGGAGCCCAUGCCAUCAGCGCACAAUGCAGCCGACCGACCGCCACGUGGCCGGGACAAAGUGACAACACAAGCCGAACACCAGCCCGCCUUACCUCGCCGUAAAGGCAGAGACAAAACUGCUUAGGGAUACACGUAUGAUCUCCGGCAGGGCCUGAAGAAUAAAACAGGUCCGGGUAGAUCGAUCUACGGAUCAUGGGGGCAUGCCUCGACGCGGGACGACGGCUAUCAAGUCGAACAUGGCAAGUACAAUUAUGUCUGAGCCGAAAGCCGCAGACAGACUCCAUCCUAACUAUGUCACGAACUGGCCCGAUAUAGUGGCGCUGCACACCCUCUCUGCUUCACUGAUGAAGUCAUGGAACAUGAAUUCCUAGAAGGGUUCAAACCCGUGAGUAUCGAAUCAUACGAUGGAACCACAUACCCCGCGGUAUGGAUUGAGGACUUCAUUCUCCAUAUUCAUAUGGCCCACGGUGAUGACUUUCAUGCCAUUAAAUACCUCCCCCUAAAACUCAAAGGGCUAGCCUGAAAAUUCCAUUGGCAGCUGGGAGGACUUGGAAGAAGCCUUCCUUGACAACUUCCAAGGUACAUAUGUUCGACCUCCGGAUGCCGAUGACUUAAGUCACAUAAUUCAACAGCCCAGAGAGUCGGCCAGGAAACUCUGGACUAGGUUCUUAACUAAAAAGAACCAGAUCGUUGACUGUCCGGAUGCCGAAGCCUUGGUGGCCUUCAAACACAGCAUCCGGGAUGAAUGGCUGAUACGUCUCCAACGUAUCUAUAAUUUUUGAUUGCUCCAUGCUAUAUUAUCUACUGUUUUGAAUGUUUAUGGGCUUUAUUAUACACUUUUAUAUCAUUUUUGGGACUAACCUAUUAACCCAGAGCCCAGUGCCAGUUUCUGUUUUUACCUUGUUUUAGGGUUUCGAAGAAAAGGAAAAUCAAACGGAGUCCAAUUGACCUGAAACUUCACGGAACUCAUUUGUGGAAGGAAAGAUGCCUUGAAAACUUGGAGUGCACGUCAGGGGAUCUACGAGGAGGCCACGAGGCAGGGGGCGCGCCCUCCACCCUCGUGGCCCCCCUGACAUACUUCUUCCACCUAUAUAUCUCCAUAUACCCUAAAAACAUCCGGGAACACAAUAGAUCGGGAGUUCCGCCACCAGAAGCCUCCGUAGCCACCGAAAGCCAAUCUAGACCCGUUCCGGCACCCUGUCGGAGGGGGAAUCCCACUCUGGUGGCCAUCUUCAUCAUCCCGGCGCUCUCCAUGACGAGGAGGGAGUAGUUCUCCCUCGGGGCUGAGGGUAUGUACCAGUAGCUAUGUGUUUGAUCUCUCUCUCUCUCUCUCUCUCUCUCGUGUUCUUAACUUGGCACGAUCUUGAUGUAUCGCGAGCUUUGCUAUUAUAGUUGGAUCUUAUGUUUCUUCUCCCCCUCUACUAUCUUGUAAUGGAUUGAGUUUCCCCUUUGAAGUUAUCUUAUCGGAUUGAGUCUUUAAAUAUUUGAGAACACUUGAUGUAUGUCUUGCCGUGCGUAUCUAUGGUGACAAUGGGAUACCACGUGAUUCACUUGAUGUAUGUUUUGGUGAUCAACUUGCGGGUUCCGCCCAUGAACCUAUGCAUAGGGGUUGGCACACGUUUUCGUCGUGAUUCUCCGGUAGAAACUUUGGGGCCCUCUUUGAGGUUCUAUGUGUUGGUUGAAUAGAUGAAUCUGAGAUUGUGUGACGCAUAUCGUAUAAUCAUACCCACGGAUACUUGAGGUGACAUUGGAGUAUCUAGGUGACAUUAGGGUUUUGGUUGAUUUGUGUCUUAAGGUGUUAUUCUAGUACGAACUCUAGGGUUGUUUGUGACACUUAUAGGAAUAGCCCAACGGAUUGAUUGGAAAGAAUAACUUUGAGGUGGUUUCGUACCCUACCAUAAUCUCUUCGUUCGUUCUCUGCUAUUAGUGACUUUGGAGUGACUCUUUGUUGCAUGUUGAGGGAUGGUUAUGUGAUCCAAUUAUGUUAUCCUUGUUGAGGGAACUUACACUUGUGAAAGUAUGAACCCUAGGCCUUGUUUCCUAUCAUUGCAAUACCGUUUAUGCUCACUUUUAUCACUUGCUACCUUGCUGUUUUUAUAUUUUCAGAUUACAAAAACUAUUAUCUACUAUCCAUAUACCACUUGUAUAACCAUCUCUUCGCCGAACUAGUGCACCUAUACAAUUUACCAUUGUAUUGGGUGUGUUGGGGACACAAGAGACUCUUUGUUAUUUGGUUGCAGGGUUGCUUGAGAGAGACCAUCUUCAUCCUACGCCUCCUACGCAUUGAUAAACCUUAGGUCAUCCACUUGAGGGAAAUUUGCUACUGUCCUACAAACCUCUGCACUUGGAGGCCCAACAACGUCUAUAAGAAGAAGGUUGUGUAGUAGACAUCAAGCUCUUUUCUGGCGCCGUUGUCGGGGAGGUGAGUGCUUGAAGGAUAUAUUUAGAUCUUGCAAUGAGUCUUUUAGUUUCUUGUUUUAUCACUAGUUUAGUUUAUAAAAGAAAAUUACAAAAAAAUGGAAUUGAGUUUGUCUCAUACACUUCACCUUUUUAAUAUCUUUCGUGAGUGUGAUGGAAAGGAUAAUUGUGCUCAAGUGCUAGAAGAAGAAAUCUAUAAAAUGUUUGGCACUAAAUAUGUGAAUGAUGAGCAUGAUUGCAAUGUUAUUAGUAUGAAUUCUUUGAAUAUCCAUGAUACUAAUGAUGAUUGCACUAGUUAUGAUGAAAAUGUCUCCUAUAAACAUGUCAAUUUUUGUGGAGUGCAUUGGGUUUAUAAGUACACACCAAAUAGAGAAGAUAGAUAUUGCAAGAAGCAUAAGUACUUAGAAACUAAACUGUUGCAAGAAAGGCUAGAUGAUUGUGCUGAAAAUUUAAAUUUUCCUGGCCAUACUUGUGAGCUUUGUAAUGAACGUGGUCAUUUAACUAUCCGAUGCAAAUUGUCUCAUGAUCUAAUCGUGUCCAAAAAUUGUGAUGACUUGAUUUUCCUUGCACAUUAUAAUGAACUUAGUUUUCUUAUGGACUACGAAUAAAUAAAAUGUAUAACUAACUAUCUUCCGGAAUUUUCCCGCUAUAAACUUCUUGGAUUUGAUCUUGAGGAAAUUUAUAUGUAUUGUGUGGUGAAUUGCAUUGAAAAUCCUUAUAUUGCCAACUACAUAAAGAAAAGAAAACAAAUAGAAGAUGAAGAGAAUAAUAAUGAAAGGGAAGAGACUUCCCAAUACCCUCCUAUUAUUUCUUAUGAUGAAUCAGGUAACGAGGAGGAGCCUCCUAUUCAACUAAUCUCAUUAAUAAGGAGCUCCACAAAGAAGAUUGAGCCCACACAUGAUGUGAUGAAGAAGAAGAAAAGAAAAAGGAAGAGAGGUAAAAAGAUAUCUCUCCCAAAUAAUGUCGCUCCUAUUACUAUUAUGCCUCAUGAAAGUAUAAUUGUGGAAGAUAAUGAUACUUCUUAUGAUCUUGAAAAUCUUUUUGGCACUUGCUUGGAAUAAUAUGAUGAUUGCUAUACUAUUGGUGCUAUCCAUACUAUUAAUGAUGAGAGUGAUUAUGCUUAUGAUAUUAAAAGGCCCAAGCUUGGGGAUGCUAUGUUUGAUGAAGAUGAUAUUUUUAGAAUAUAAUUGCUGAAAUUAAUGUUUGUCCCAAGCUUGGGGAUGCUACGUUUAAUGAAGAUGAUAUUUUUAGUCUCCCAAGUUUUGAUAUGCAAGUUUAUAAUGAUGAUAGCAUGCCUCCUACUUAUAAUGAUUAUUGUUAUGAUACUUAUGCUAUAAAAAGUAGUGAUUAUAUUUAUAAAACUUGUCAUGAUUAUGGUUACCCAUUUUUCUGAACAUUACUCUUUUAAUAUGGAAACAAUUUGUAGUAUUCGAGUCUCUUAUGAUACUCCCACUAUUCCGAAUGAGAAGAAUUUUGCUUAUGUGGAGAGUAGUAAAUUUUUUAUGCUUGUAGAUCAUGAAAAGAAUGCUUUAGGUGCUGGUUAUAUUGUUGAAUUCAUUCAUGACGCUACUGAAAAUUAUUAUGAGGGAGGAAUAUAUGCUUGUAGGAAUUGCAAUAAUAUCAAGUUUCCUCUCUAUGUGCUUAAAAUCUUGAAGCUAUGCUUGUUUUGCCCUCCUAUGCUAGUUGAUUAUUGUUCUCAUAACUUGUUUGCUCACAAAAUCCCUAUGCAUAGGAAGAGGGUUAGACUUAAAUUUUCUAGUCAUAUUCUUCAUGAUGCUCUCUUUAUGUUACAAUUCUUAUCUUCUAUAUGAGCAUCAUUGAAAUCAUCAUGCCUAGCUAGGGGCGUUAAACGAUAGCGCUUGUUGGGAGGCAACCCAAUUUUAUUUUUGUUCCUUGCCUUUUGCUCCUGUUUAGUCAUAAAUAAUUCAUCUAGCCUCUUUUUAGAUGAUGUUUUAUGUUUUAAUUAGUGUUUGUGCCAAGUAGAACCUUUGGGAAGACUUGGGUGAAGUCUUUAUGAUCAUGCUGUAAAAAACAGAAACUUUAGCGCUCACGAGAAUUGCUGCCAUUUUUAUUUGGAGAGUGAUAUUUAGUUAAUUCUUUUUGCAGAUGAUUAAUAGAUAUUUUCCUAAGGUCCAGAAAUUUAUUUGAGAAUUUUAUGAGUUCCAGAAGUAUACGUUUGAUCCAGACUAAUACAGACUGUUCUGUUUUUGACAGAUUCUGUUUUUCGUGUGUUGUUUGCUUAUUUUGAUGAAUCUAUGGCUAGUAAAAGAGUUUACAAACCAUAGAGAAGUCGGAAUACAGUAAGUUUAACACCAAUAUAAAUAAAGAAUGAGUUCAUUACAGUACCUUGAAGUGGUGAUUUAUUUUCUUAUACUAACGGAGCUUACGAGUUUUCUGUUAAGUUUUGUGUUGUGAAGUUUUCAAGUUUUGGGUAAGGAUUCGAUGGACUAUGGAAUAAGGAGUGGCAAGAGCCUAAGCUUGGGGAUGCCCAAGGCACUCCAAGGUAAUAUUCAAGGAUAGCCAAGAGCCUAAGCUUGGUGAUGCCCCAGAAGGCAUCCCCUAUUUCGUCUUCGUUCAUCGGUAACUUUACUUGGAGCUAUAUUUUUAUUUACCACAUGAUAUGUGUUUUGCUUGGAGCAUCAUUUUAUUUUAUUUAGUUUUGCUUGCUGUUUGAAUAAAAUAUCAUGAUCUUAAAUUCUUAAAUGUUAUAGAGUCUUCACAUAGUUGCAUAAUUAUUCAACUACUCAUUGAUCUUCACUUAUAUCUUUCGGAGUAGUUUGUUGUUGCUCCAGUGCUUCACUUAUAUCUUUUAGAGCACGGUGGUGGAUUUGUUUUAUAGAAACUAUUGAUCUCUCAUGCUUCACUUAGAUUAUUUUGAGAGUCUUAAACAACAUGGUAAUGUGCUUAAUCCUAAUAUGCUAGGUAUUCAAGAUUAGUAAAAACUUUCUUAGGAGUGUGUUGAAUACUAAGAGAAGUUUGAUGUUUGAUGAUUGUUUUGAGAUAUGGGGGUAAUAAUAUCAAAGUCGUGCUAGUUGAGUAGUUGUGAAAUUGAGAAAUGCUUGUGUUGAAGUUUGCAAGUCCCGUAGCAUGCACGUAUGGUAAACGUUAUGUAACAAAUUUGAAACAUGAGGUGUUAUUUGAUUGUCCUCCUUAUGAGUGGCAGUCGGGGACGAGCGAUGGUCUUUUCCUACCAAUCUAUCCCCCUAGGAGCAUGCACGUAGUGCCAAGGUUUUUGAUGACUUGUAGAAUUUUGCAAUAAGUAUGUGAGUUCUUUAUGACUAAUGUCGAGUCCAUGGAUUAUACACACUCUCACCCUUCCAUCCUUGCUAGCCUCUUCGGUACCGUGCAUUGCCCUUUCUCACAUUGAGAGUUGGUGCAAACUUCACCGGUGCAUCCAAACCCCGUGAUAUGAUACACUCUUUCACACAUAAACCUCCUUAUAUCUUCCUCAAAACAGCCACCAUACCUACCUAUUAUGGCAUUUCCAUAGCCAUUCCGAGAUAUAUUGCCAUGCAACUUUCCACCGUUCCGUUUAUUAUGACACGCAUCAUCAUUGUCAUAUUGCUUUGCAUGAUCAUGUAGUUUACAUCAUAUUUGUGGCAAAGCCACAGUUAAUAAUUUUUCAUACAUGUCGCUCUUGAUUCAUCGCAAUCCCGGUACACCACCGGAGGCAUUCAUAUAGAGUCAUAUCUUGUUCUAGUAUCGAGUUGUAAAUAAAUAGAAGUGUGAUGAUCAUCAUAGAGCAUUGUCCCAAAAAAAGAGAAAGGCCAAAAAAGGAGUCCAAAUAAAAAGAAGAGAGGCCAAAUAAAAAAAAGAAAGUCCAAAAAAAGGGGACAAUGCUACUAUCCUUUUUCCACACUUGUGCUUCAAAGUAGCACCAUGAUCUUUAUGAUAGAGAGUCUCUUGUUUUGUCACUUUCAUAGACUAGUGGGAAUUUUUCAUUAUAGAACUUGGCUUGUAUAUUCCAACAAUGUGCCUCCUCAAGUGCCCUAGGUCUUCGUGAGCAAGCAAGUUGGAUGCACACCCACUUAGUAUCUUUUGUUGAGCCUUCAUACAUUUAUAGCUCUAGUGCAUCCGUUGCAUGGCAAUCCCUACUCCUUGCAUUAACAUCAAUCGAUGGGCAUCUCCAUAGCCCAUUGAUUAGCCUCGUUGAUGUGAGACUUUCUCCUUUUUGUAUUCUCCACAUAACCCCCUCAUUAUUCUAUUCCACCCAUAGUGCUAUAUCCAUGGCUCGUGCUCAUGUAUUGCGUGAAAGUUUAUAGGUUUGAGAUUACUAAAGUAUGAAACAAUUGCUUGGCUUGUCAUCGGGGUUGUGCGUGAUGAGAGCAUUCUUGUGUGACGAAAAUGGAGCAUGACUAAACUGUAUGAUUUUGUAGGGAUGAACUUUCUUUGGCCAUGUUAUUUUGAGAAGACAUGAUUGCUUAGUUAAUAUGCUUGAAGUAUUAUUAUUUUUAUGUCAAUAUUAAACUUUUGUCUUGAAUCUUAUGGAUCUGAAUAUUCAUACCACAAUUAAGAAGAAUUACAUUGAAAUUAUGCCAACUAGCAUUCCACAUCAAAAAUUCUUCCUUUUAUCAUUUACCUACUCGAGGACGAGCAGAAAUUAAGCUUGGGGAUGCUGAUACGUCUCCAACGUAUCUAUAAUUUUUGAUUGCUCCAUGCUAUAUUAUCUACUGUUUUGAAUGUUUAUGGGCUUUAUUAUAUACUUUUAUAUCAUUUUUGGGACUAACCUAUUAACCCAGAGCCCAGUGCCAGUUUCUGUUUUUACCUUGUUUUAGGGUUUCGAAGAAAAGGAAAAUCAAACGGAGUCCAAUUGACCUGAAACUUCACGGAACUCAUUUGUGGAAGGAAAGAAGCCCAGAAAACUUGGAGUGCACAUCAGGGGAUCUACGAGGAGGCCACAAGGCAGGGGGCGUGCCCACCCCCUGGGCGCGCCCUCCACCCUCGUGGGCCCCUCGUGGCCCCCCUAACGUACUUCUUCCGCCUAUAUAUCUCCAUAUACCCUAAAAACAUCCGAGAACACAAUAGAUCGGGAGUUCCGCCGCCAGAAGCCUCCGUAGCCACCGAAAGCCAAUCUAGACCCGUUCCGGCACCCUACCAGAGGGGGAAUCCCUCUCCGAUGGCCAUCUUCAUCAUCCCGACGCUCUCCAUGAUGAGAAGGGAGUAGUUCUCCCUCGGGGCUGAGGGUAUGUACUAGUAGCUAUGUGUUUGAUCUCUCUCUCUCUCUCUCUCUCUCGUGUUCUUGAUUUGGCACGAUCUUGAUGUAUCGUGAGCUUUGCUAUUAUAGUUGGAUCUUAUGUUUCUUCCCCCCUCUACUCUCUUGUAAUGGAUUGAGUUUCCUCUUUGAAGUUAUCUUAUCGGAUUGAGUCUUUAAAGAUUUGAGAACACUUGAUGUAUGUCUUGCCAUGCGUAUCUGUGGUGACAAUGGGAUACCACGUGAUUCACUUGAUGUAUGUUUUGGUGAUCAACUUGCGGGUUCCGCCCAUGAACCUAUGCACAGGGGUUGGCACACGUUUUCGUCGUGAUUCUCUGGUAGAAACUUUGGGGCACUCUUUGACGUUCUAUGUGUUGGUUGAAUAGAUGAAUCUGAGAUUGUGUGACGCAUAUCGUAUAUUCAUACCCACGGGUACUUGAGGUGACAUUGGAGUAUCUAGGUGACAUUAGGGUUUUGGUUGAUUUGUGUCUUAAGGUGUUAUUCUAGUACGAACUCUAGGGCUGUUUGUGACACUUAUAGGAAUAGCCCAACGGAUUGAUUGGAAAGAAUAACUUUGAGGUGGUUUCGUACCCUACCAUAAUCUCUUCGUUCAUUCUCCGCUAUUAGUGACUUUGGAGUGACUCUUUGUUGCAUUUUGAGGGAUGGUUAUGUGAUCCAAUUAUGUUAUCCUUGUUGAGGGAACUUACACUUGUGAAAGUAUGAACCCUAGGCCUUGUUUCCUAUCAUUGCAAUACCGUUUAUGCUCACUUUUAUCACUUGCUACCUUGCUGUUUUUAUAUUUUCAGAUUACAAAAAACUAUUAUCUACUAUCCAUAUACCACUUGUAUAACCAUCUCUUCUCCAAAAUAGUGCACCUAUACAAUUUACCAUUGUAUCAGGUGUGUUGGGGACACAAGAGACUCUUUGUUAUUUGGUUGCAGGGUUGCUUGAGAGAGACCAUCUUCAUCCUACACCUCCUACGGAUUGAUAAACCUUAGAUCAUCCACUUGAGGGAAAUUUGUUACUGUCCUACAAACCUCUGCACUUGGAGGCCCAACAACGUCUACAAGAAGAAGGUUGUGUAGUAGACAUCAAUGGCUCGCCCGACACCUCGGCCAAGAGAAACCGAAGUCGAUGGCAGCCCUUACGGCACUUAUGACCCGCUUUUGCGCGGGCGAAGUUAGCUGGCUAGCUCAUAGUAAUAAGAGAACAAGCGAACCUGGCACCGCGGAAGCCAAGAAUAGCAACGACAAGCCCCGAGACAACAGACACAAGCGUUGAAACAACGGUGACAAUACCGACGACAUGGCGGUCAACGCCGGAUUCAGUGGGUCCAAGUCCGGCCAGCGGAAGAAGCCAUUCAAGAGGAACAAUUCGGGCCCAUACAGCUUGGACCGCAUACUCGAUCGCCCAUGCCAGAUACACGUCACUCCUGACAAACUAGCCAAUCACAACAACAGAGACUGUUGGGUUUUUAAACAGGCCGACAAGUUAAAUGCCGAGAACAAGGAGAAGGGGUCGCAAAGCAAAGACGAUGACGAGGAACCCUGGCCAUCGAACAUAGGGGGACAGAAGAAGUCCCCCCCCCCCCAAAUUAAAACGGUAAACNNNNNNNNNNNNNNNNNNNNNNNNNNNNNNNNNNNNNNNNNNNNNNNNNNNNNNNNNNNNNNNNNNNNNNNNNNNNNNNNNNNNNNNNNNNNNNNNNNNNNNNNNNNNNNNNNNNNNNNNNNNNNNNNNNNNNNNNNNNNNNNNNNNNNNNNNNNNNNNNNNNNNNNNNNNNNNNNNNNNNNNNNNNNNNNNNNNNNNNNNNNNNNNNNNNNNNNNNNNNNNNNNNNNNNNNNNNNNNNNNNNNNNNNNNNNNNNNNNNNNNNNNNNNNNNNNNNNNNNNNNNNNNNNNNNNNNNNNNNNNNNNNNNNNNNNNNNNNNNNNNNNNNNNNNNNNNNAAAACGGUAAACAUGAUAUACGCUACCCACAUACCCAAGAGAGAAUGCAAUCGCACACUCAGGGACGUCUACACGAUGGAGCCAGUCACCCCAAAGUUCAACCCAUGGUCUUCUUGCCCGAUCACUUUUGAUCGCAGGGACCAUCCGACCAGUAUCCGUCAUGGCGGUUCAGCCGCGCUGGUCCUCGACCCUAUCAUCGAUGAAUUUCACCUCACGCGAGUCCUCAUGGAUGGUGGUAGCAGCCUGAACCUGCUCUAUCAGGAUACAAUGCGCAAAAUGGGCAUUAAUCCAUCAAGAAUUAAGCCCACAAAGACUACCUUUAAAGGAGUCAUACAAGGUGUAGAGGCCCGUUGUAUGGGCUCAAUCACACUAGAGGUUGUCUUCGGAUCUCCGGACAAUUUCUGAAGCGAAGAGCUGAUCUUCGAUAUUGUCCCCUUUCGCAGCGGCUAUCACGCACUGCUCGGACGAACCGCAUUUGCAUGCUUCAACGUGGUGCCACACUAUGCUUAUCUUAAGCUCAAGAUGCCUGGCCCACGCGGCGUCAUAACAGUCAAUGGGAACACGGAACGCUCCCUCCGUACCGAGGAGCACACCACCGCGUUAGCAGUAGAAGUAGAGAGUGGCCUCUUCAAGCAGAACCUUAAUUCGCCGACCGAACUCCCGGACACUGUCAAACGAGUCCGGACUACUCCGCAGCAGGACAGACCGGCUCAUCAAGAGCUCGACUAGCAACUCGGCCUCCGUCCCCAUCCCAACCAAGAAGCAGCAUUCGUACCGCGUGUACAUAACUACACACUCAAAAUACCAUGGGCAUAGACGGAGGCAUAACUAUCUUGCGAUCCAUAAUACGGCUUGACCGCUCCUAGACACACAUACUUUCCAUUUUUCCAUUUUAUCCUUUUCAGGUCCUUUUUCCGCAGGUUUCUUCUGACGACCUGAUCAUCGGUCCUCUCGGCGGGACGGAUACACCAAGAUGGCAAGAAGCACUGGCGUACAAGGGAAUCCCUAGAUGGUCUUGAGGGAGUCCUGGAUUAAGGGGUCCUCGGGCGUCCGGCAUGUUAGCCAUGGGUCGGACUGAUGGGCUGUGAAGAUACGAAGACCGAAGGCUAUACUCGUGUCCAGAUGAGACUCUCCUUGGCGUGGAAGGCAAGCUUGACAACCGGAUAUGUAGAUUCCCUUCUUUGUAACCGACCUUGUGUAACCCUAGAUCCUCCUGGUGUCUAUAUAAACCGGAGGACUUAGUCUGGAUAGGACACCCAUUAUCAUAGCCAUACAAGCUAGACCUCUAGGGUUUAGCCAUUACGAUCUCGAGGUAGAUCAACUCUUGUAAUACUCAUACUCAUCAAUAUCAAUCAAGCAGGACGUAGGGUAUUACCUCCAUAGAGAGGGCCCGAACCUAGGUAAACAUCGUGUCCCUUGUCUCCUGUUACCAUCGACCUUAGACACACAGUUCGGGACCCCCUACCCGAGAUCCGCCGGUUUUGACACCGACAUUGGUGCUUUCAUUGAGAGUUCCACUGUGCUGUCGACAACAAGAUCGAUGUCUCGCCUUGUUUUCAAGGAUAAUAUUACCACCGGAGGAACGCUGGCUCCAGGCCAAACCCUCCCACUGGGCGGCUUUACCAUGACUGCCCGUUCAGCCAUUAAGCCGAUGAUGGCCUCUCGGGUCAUCAAAAACCCCCUUCUUAUCGACUCCGAAUACUCCAAGUAGAUGGAUCCAGUGGAGCUUUCGUCUUUAAACGAGCUCCAAGAUCGCAUCGCCGCCCUGGGGGUCGCUACAGACUACGAUCAGAUUGGUCUUAAACCCGAUCAGAGAGAAAUCAAAUCUCCGCCGAUCACCCACCAGAUAGCGGUAGUCGAGGAACGGGUCGAUAACUCUUCCUCCAUAUUAAGGAUGGACUAUGUAUGGAUCUCCGGUCUCGAAGAGCCGAACACCUACCCACGAGGUGAAGCGUCCUGCCCUCUGAACAUAGAAUCGGAUGACAGGCCUAAGAAAUCAGCGGACACACCAGAGCCCGAUCUGUUAAGUUCGGAAGACCUUCAAACUUCGGAUCCAAAACUGGGGCAGGGUUCAGAUUCAAAUCCACCCACCCACCCGAAUACAAGCGCUCCCACGAGCAUAAAACAGCAGUCUCAAGAAGCGGUCCACCACUUCUAGGCCAGAUUCCUUGUCAAAAACAAGAUUAAAGAUUGCCGCGACGAGGAAGCGAUCUCAGUGUUCCGUGACAAUUGCAGGGACGAAGGAAUCCUCAACGCAAUUAACCACCGUCGCAUCCUACACUUUGAUGACUAGGCAACCAUCGUACAGAAGUACAAUGCAAUGGGAAGCGUUUGGAAAACUCAAGCAGCUCGUUGGGAAUCAUCGGUCCCCACUCAACCCUUCAUUCAGGCGAAAAGGGCGCACCCUUGCAACACGCCCGGUUCAAUAGUAAAGAAAUACAAGUCCAGUAUGUGGCGCGAAACCUUUCUAGAAGGAUGGCUCGAUGGGCCAUGCAAAAUACACGCAACACCGGAUACCAUACCAACACAUAGCCUUAGAGCAUGUUGGAUACUCCGGCAAGUGGCAAAGAGCGGCGAGGAUAUCCUCACCAAGAAUAACCCAGAACAACACCCCCAGAGGACAACGACUCCAAAGUACUAACGGUCUUCGAGACAUUCGCCUCCAACAAAAGGCGCAAGAGAGCACUACGCGGACUCGCUGAAGUCUAUCAAAUAGAAGCAAUAAACCCUUGGAACGACACGGCUAUUACUUUUAAUGCCAGGGACGAACCAAAAUACAGGACAGUCCGAGCAUCAGCCGCCUUGGUCCUCAGUCCAAUUGUGGACGGCUUUCGGCUAACCAAGGUCCUUAUGGAUGGCGGCAGUGGACUAAACCUCAUCUACGAAGUUACACUCCACAAAAUGGCAAUAGACAGGGGCCGCAUUGAGCAAAGCAAUACGACCUUCCGAGGAAUUAUCCCCAGUCGGGAGGCGCGGUGUGCGGGAAAAAUAACACUCGACGUGGUAUUCAGCACGCCGGAGAAUUAUCGGUCCGAAGAAAUAACCUUCCAAGUGUCCCCUUUCAACAGCGGGUAUCACGCCCUCUUAGGGCGAAAUGCAUUUACGUGCUUCCAAGCGGUACCCCAUUACGGAUACAUGAAGCUUAAGAUGCCUGGGCCCAACCGUAUAAUCACUCUAGCUAGUGAUCCGGACAUAGCACUCCGCGCCGAGAAUAAGACCGCAUCCUUGGCCCUUGAGGCAUUAUCUGAAGCCCUCACGGCUGAAGAACUAGCCGCGCUGCGCUCUACGAUGGACAGGGAUGAUGUCGUCCUAGAUAAACGACCCAAAUCCACCUCCUUCAAAUCAACAGAAGAAAUAGUCAAAUUCCAAGUCCAUCCAAUGGACCCAAGAAGACAGCAUCCAUCGGAGCAUAAUUAGAUCCAACGGUUGACGCCGCGCUAUGAGAGUUCCUGCACGAAAAUUGGGGUAUAUUCGCCUGGAACCCUUCUGAUAUGUCAGGAAUCCCACGCGAGCUGGCCGAACACAGCCUCAAUAUAUUAAAAGGAUAUAAAACGGUCAAGCAAACACUGUGGUGCUUUUCCAAACCCAAACGUCAAGCUAUGGGGGAGGAGCUAGCCAACUUAAUCGAGGCCGGAUUCAUCAGAGAAAUAAAGCAUCCGGACUGGCUGGCAAACCUGGUGAUGGUACUAAAGAAGGACAAAUCCUGGCAGUUGUGCGUCGAUUUUAAAGACCUCAAUAAGGCUUGCCCUAAGGAUCCCUUCCCCCUCCCCCGCGUUGAUCAAAUCAUUGAUGCUACCGCAGGACACGACUCACUGUGUUCCUGGAUGCAUAUUUCGGAUACCAUCAAAUCAAAAUGAAGGAGUCCGAUCAAGCUGCAACAACAUUCAUUACCCCAUAUGGGCCAUUUUGCUUCAACAUCAUGCCCUUCGGGCUCAAGAACGCCGGCGCCACAUACCAACGCAUGAUUCAAACAUGCCUGGAGAAGCAAAUCAGCAAGACAGUUGAAGCUUACGUGGACGAUGUCGUCAUCAAAACCAGGCGCGUCGAAACAUUAAUAGACGAUUUACGUCUCACAUUCGAUAACCUCCGUGCGUAUGACAUCAAGCUCAAUCCGGAAAAGUGCGUUUUCAGCGUCCCCGCCGGAAAACUGCUGGGCUUCAUCAUUUCCAAUAUAGGAAUUGAAGCAAAUCUAGCCAAAAUCCGAGCUUUAUCGCAAUUGGCUACGCCAGCAGACCUUAAACAAGUUCAAAAACUCGCGGGCUGCGUGGCAGCUCUAAGCUGCUUCAUCUCCAAAUUGGGAGAAAAGGCACUACCACACUAUCGCCUUUUACGGCGAACAGAUCACUUCGAGUGGACGGACGCGGCAACAGCCGGACUGGAGGAAAUGAAAAUCCUUCUUGCGAGCAAUCCAAUCCUGGCUGCACCAAACUCCGGCGAACCGAUGUUAUUAUACAUAUCGGCAACACAUCAGGUGGUGAGCGCCGUACUCGUCAUUGAACGAGAACAGGACGGACAAAAAUUCCCGCUUCAGAAGCCAGUAUACUACGUAUCCACUAUCCUUACACCAUGCAAAUCCCGCUACCCCCAUUAUCAAAAGAUAGCAUACGCGGUCUUCAUGGCAUCCUGAAAGCUCCGUCACUACUUCCAGGAGUGUUCGAUUAUGGUGGCUUCCGAAGUACCACUCAAUGACAUCAUAAAUAACCGCGAUGCCACGGGCCGGAUUGCCAAAUGGGCCAUUGAGCUCCUCCCAUUCGACAUUACAUACAAACCACGACGAGGUAUUAAGUCCCAAGUACUGGUUGACUUCGUCGCCGAAUGGACAGAGGCCGAACUCCCUAAAGAGUACGACACAUAUUCCAAUUGGGUUAUGUAUUUCGAUGGCUCCAAAGUGCUGGCAGGGAUAGGAGCGGGCGUCGUUUUAACGUCCCCUACUGGAGACGUCGUUCAGUACGUACUCCAAAUACUAUACACAGACUCCAAUAACGCAGGCGAAUAUGAGGCCUUAUUACAUGGUCUCCGGAUGGCCGUCUCCAUGGGCAUACAACGCUCAGAGGUGCGCGGGGACUCAAACCUUGCAAUAUCUCAAAUAAAUGGAGACUUCGACGCCAAAGAUCCGAAGAUGGCAGCUUAUCAUAACGCAAUCAUAAAAAUGUUGGCCUGGUUAGAAGGGCUCGAGUUCCAUCAUGUGGCUCGGGGAGGUAAUCAAGCGGCGGACGUUCUUGCUCGUAUCAGCGCCAAGCGCGACCCUAUCCCACCUAAUAUCUUUCUGGAAAGGCUUUUUAAGCCAUCUGUGGUGUUGAAGGGGGAAAACAACAACACUAGUCCAGAUCUGAACAUAACCCCAGAUUUCAAAAACACCGACACCAUCGGAGGCUCAACCACCGAAAUAACACCAUCGACGCAUCUAUUCAUGGCAGUCAUUGCCCCAUGGACCGAACCCUUCCUGGCCUACCUUAACAGGAAGGAGCUUCCUGAGGACCAGAAUGAGGCCCGCUGUUUUUCCGAUGUUCGAAGGCCUACAAGGUUCAUGAUGGAGAACUCUAUAAGAAAAGCGCUACCGGAGUACUUCAAAGAUGUAUCUCCGAGGAAGUGGGGCGGAAGCUCUUGGCCGAGAUUCACGCCAGGCUUGGCGGUCACCACGCCGCAGCUCGGGCCUGACACGUCUCCAACGUAUCUAUAAUUUUUGAUUUCCCCAUGCUAUUAUAUUAUCUAUUUUGGAUGUUAAUGGGCUUUAUUUUACACUUUUAUAUCAUUUUUGGGACUAACCUACUAACCGGAGGCCCAACCCAAAUUGCUAUUUUUUUUGCCUAUUUUAGGGUUUCGAAGAAAAGGAAUAUCAAACGGAGUCCAAACGGAAUGAAACCUUACGGAACGUGAUUUUCUCAACAAACAUGAUCCAUGAGACUUGGAGUGGCCAUCAAGAAACAAGGGAGGAAGGCACGAGGCAGGGGACGCGCCCUCCACCUUCGUGGGCCCUCCGUUGCUCCACCGACGUACAUCUUCCUCCUAUAUAUAUCCACGUACCACCCAAAUAUCCAGGAGCACCACGAAAACCUAAUUCCACCGCCGCAACCUUCUGUACUCGAGAGAUCCCAUCUCGGGGCCUUUUCUGGAGCUCCACCGGAGGGGGCAUUGAUCACGGAGGGCCUCUACAUCAACUCCAUGGCCUCUCCGGUGAUGUGUGAGUAGUUUACUUCAGACCUACGGGUCCAUAGUUAUUAGCUAGAUGGCUUCUUCUCUCUCUUUGGAUCUCAAUACAAAGUUCUCCUCGAUUUUCUUGGAGAUCUAUUCGAUGUAAUCUUCUUUUGCGGUGUGUUUGUCGAGAUCCGAUGAAUUGUGGGUUUAUGAUUCAAAUUAUCUAUGAACAAUAUUUGAUUCUCCUCUGAAUUCUUUAUGUAUGAUUGGUUUAUCUUUGCAAGUCUCUUCGAAUUAUCAGUUUGGUUUGGCCUACUAGAUUGAUCUUUCUUGCAAUGGGAGAAGUACUUAGCUUUGGGUUCAAUCUUGCGGUCUUCGAUCCCAGUGACAGAAAGGGAACCGAUACGUAUUGUAUUGUUGCCAUCGAGGAUAAAAAGAUGGGGUUUAUAUCAUAUUGCAUGAGUUUAUCCUUCUACAUCAUAUCAUCUUCCUUAAAGCAUUACUCUGUUCUCUUGAACUUAAUACUCUAGAUGCAUGCUGGAUAGCGGUCGAUGUGUGGAGUAAUAGCAGUAGAUGCAGAAUCGUUUUGGUCUACUUGUCUCAGACGUGAUGCCUAUAUACAUGAUCAUACCUAGAUAUUCUCAUAACUAUGCUCAAUUCUAUCAAUUGCUCGACAAUAAUUCGUUUACCCACCGUAAUACUUAUGCUCUUGAGAGAAGCCACUAGUGAAACCUAUGGCCCCCGAAUCUAUCUUCCAUCAUAUUAAUCUUCCAACACUUAGUUAUUUCCUUUGCCGUUUAUUUUACUUUGCAUCUUUAUUUCUCUUUAUCAUAAAAAUACCAAAAAUAUUAUCUUAUCAUAUCUAUCAGAUCUCACUCUCGUAAGUGACCGAGAAGGGCUUGACAACCCCUUUAUCGCGUUGGUUGCGAGGUUCUUAUUUGUUUGUGUAGGUGCGUGGGACUUGAGCGUGAUCUCCUACUGGAUUGUUACCUUGGUUCUCAAAAACUGAGGGAAAUACUUACGCUGCUUUACUACAUCACCCUUUCCUCUUCAAGGGAAAACCAACGCAGUGCUCAAGCGGUAGCAAGAAGGAUUUCUGGCGCCGUUGCCGGGGAGAUUCGCGCCAAGUCAAGUCAAGAUUUGACUCCCACAAUGAGUCAUUUCUGGCGCCAUUACCAAGUCAAAAUAUACCAAGUACCCAUCACAGACUCUUAUCCCUCGCAUUACAUUAUUUGCCAUUUGCCUCUUGUUUUCCUCUCCCCCACUUCACCCUUGCCGUUUUAUUCACCCUCUCUCUCUCUCCAUCCCCUUCUCUUUCCCUAUUUGCCUCUUUUUGCCUGUUUCUUGUUUGUUUGUGUGUUGGAUUACUUGCCUGUCACGAUGGCUCAAGAUAAUACUAAAUUGUGUGACUUUGCCAAUACCAACAACAAUGAUUUUAUUAGCACUCCGAUUGCUCCUCUUAUCGAUGCUAAAUCUUGUGAAAUUAAUACUGCUUUGCUGAAUCUUGUCAUGAAAGAUCCGUUUUCUGGCCUUCCUAGUGAAGAUGCCGCUACCCAUCUAAACAACUUUAUUGAUUUGUGUGAUAUGCAAAAGAAGAAAGAUGCGGAUAUUGAUAUUGUUAAAUUGAAGCUAUUUCCAUUUUCGCUUAGAGAUCGUGCUAAAGCUUGGUUUUUGUCUUUGCCUAAAAAUAGUAUUGAUUCAUGGAAUAAAUGCAAAGAUGCUUUUAUCUCUAAGUAUUUUCCUCCCGCUAAGAUCAUCUCUCUUAGAAACGAUAUUAUGAAUUUUAAGCAACUUGAUCAUGAACAUGUUGCACAAUCUUGGGAGAGGAUGAAACCAAUGAUAUGUAAUUGCCCAUCACAUGGUUUGAAUCUUUGGAUGAUUAUACAAAACUUUUCUGACGGAUUGAAUUCUGCUUCUAGAAAUCUUUUAGAUUCGGCCGCGGGAGCCACUUUUAUGGAAAUCACUUUAGGAGAAGCUACCAAACUCCUAGACAAUAUUAUGGUUAAUUAUUCUCAAUGGCACACCGAAAGAUCUACGAAUAAAAAAGUGCAUGCAAUUGAAGAGAUUAAUGUUUUGAGUGGAAAGAUGGAUGAACUUAUGAAAUUGUUUGCUAAUAAGAGUGCUCCUACUGAUCCUAAUGAUAUGCCUUUGUCUACCUUUAUUGAGGAUAAUAAUGAAUCUAUGGAUGAGAAUUUUGUUGGUAGGAACAAUUUUGGUAAUAACGCGUAUAGAGGUAAUUUUAAUUCUAGGCCGUUUCCUAGUAAUUCCUAUAAUAAUUAUGGUAAUUCCUACAAAAAUUCCUAUGGAAAUUAUAAUAAGAUGCCUCUGAUUUUGAAUCUAAUAUUAAAUAAUUUAUCACUUCGCAAAAGAGUUUCAAUGCUUUGAUUGAAGAAAAAUUGCUUAAGAUUGAUGAGUUGGCUAGGAACGUUGAUAGAAUUUCUGUUGAUGUUGAUUAUUUGAAACUUAGAUAUAUUCCACAUAAACAUGAUAUCAAUGAGUCUCUCAAAUCCAUUGGAAUUUCCAUUGAUGAGUGCAAAGAAAGAACCGCUAGGAUGCGUGCUAAGAAAUAUUGCUUUAUAAAAGCGUGUUCUUCUAGUUUUCAUGAUAAUAAGGAUGAAGAUCUAAAUGUUAUUGAUGUGUCUCCUAUUAAAUCUUUGUUUUGCAAUAUGAAUCUUGAUAAUUAUGGGGCUGAAGAUGAGCCACCUUUACCUAGAAGGCGUUCCAAAAAUUCGGAGUCUUUAGAUUUUGAUGCUAAAAUUGUUAAAAGUGGGAUUGACGAGGUCAAAACUUUAAAUAUCAAUGAACCCACUAUUUUGGAUUUCAAGGAAUUUAAUUAUCAUAAUUGCUCUUGGAUAGAUUGUAUUUCCUUAUUGCAAUCUGUGCUAAAUUGUCCUCAUGCUUAUAGUCAAAAUAAAGCUUUUAUUAAACAUAUCGUUGACGCUUUGAUGCAAUCUUAUGAAGAAAAACUUGAGUUGUAAGUUUCUAUCCCUAGAAAACUUUAUGAUGAGUGGGAACCUACAAUAAAAAUUAAAAUUAAAGAUCAUGAGUGCUAUGCUUUGUGUGAUUUGGGUGCUAGUGUUUCCACGAUUCCAAAAAAUUUGUGUGAUUUACUAGGUUUCCGUGAUUUUGAUGAUUGUUCUUUAAACUUGCACCUUGCGGAUUCCAAUAUUAAGAAACCUAUGGGAAGAAUUAAUGAUGUUCUUAUUGUUGAAAAUAGGAACUAUGUGACCGUAGAUUUCAUUGUUCUUGAUAUAGAUUGCAAUUCCUCAUGUCCUAUUAUUCUUGGUAGACCUUUCCUUAGAACGAUUGGUGCAAUUAUUGAUAUGAAGGAAGGGAAUAUGAGAUUCCAAUUUCCGUUAAGGAAAGGCAUGGAACACUUCCCUAGAAAGAAAAUUAAAUUACCUUAUGAAUCUAUUAUGAGAGCCACUUAUGGUUUACUUACCAAACAUGGCAAUACCUAGAUCUAUCUUCGCUUUAUGCCUAGCUAGGGGCGUUAAACGAUAGCGCUUGUUGGGAGGCAACCCAAUUUUAUUUUUAUUCCUUGAUUUUUCUCCUGUUUAGUAAUAAAUAAUUUAUCUAGCCUCUUUUUUGAUUGUGUUUUUAUGUGUUUAAUUAGUGUUUGUGCCAAGUAGAACUGUUGGGAAGACUUGGGGAAAGUCCUUUUGAUCUUGCUGUAAAAAACAGAAACGUUAGCGCUCACGAGAAUUGCUGCCAUUUUUAUUUGGAAGGUGCUAUUUAGUUAAUUAUUUUUUCAGAUGAUUAAUAAAUAAAUUCCUCGCGUCCAGCAAUUUAUUUUAGAAUUUUUGGGGUUCCAAAACUUGCGUUAGCUACAGAUUACUACAGACUGUUCUGUUUUUGACAGAUUCUGUUUUUCUUGUGUUGUUUGCUUAUUUUGACGAAUCUAUGGCUAGUAAAAGAAUUGAUAAAAUAUAGAGAAGUUGGAAUACAGUAGGUUUAACACCAAUAUAAAUAAAGAAUGAGUUCAUUACAGUACCUUAAAAUGGUGUUUUGUUUUCUUUCGCUAACGGAGCUCACGAGAUUUUCUAUUUUGAGUUUUGUGUUGUGAAGUUUUCAAGUUUUGGGGUAAAGAUUUGAUGGAUUAUGGAACAAAGAGUGGCAAGAUCCUAAGCUUGGGGAUGCCCAUGGCACCCCAAGGUAAAACUCAAGGACACCAAAAAUCCUAAGCUUGGGGAUGCCCCGGAAGUCAUCCCCUCUUUCGUCUUCGUCUAUCGGUAACUUUACUUGGAGCUAUAUUUUUAUUCACCACAUGGUAUGUGUUUUGCUUGGAGCGUCUUGUAUGAUUUGAGUCUUUUCUUUUUAGUUUACCACAAUCAUCCUUGCUGUACACACCUUUUGAGAGAGACUCACAUGAUUUGAAAUCUAUUAGAAUACUCUAUGUGCUUCACUUAUAUCUUUUGAGCUACAUAGUUUUUGCUCUAGUGCUUCACUUAUAUCUUUUAGAGCAUGGUGGUGGACUUGUUUUAUAGAAACUAUUGUUCUCUCAUGCUUCACUUAUAUUAUUUUGAGAGUCCUUUAGAACAACAUGGAAAUAAUAAAAACUUUCAUAUAAGUGCAUUGAAUACCAUGAGAAGUUUGAUACUUGAUAAUUGUUUUGAGAUAUGGAGAUGGUGAUGUUAGAGUCAUGCUAGUUGAGUAGUUGUGAAUUUGAGAAAUACUUGUGUUGAAGUUUGUGAUUCCCGUAGCAUGCAUGUAUGGUGAACCGUUAUGUGAAGAAGUCGGAGCAUGAUUUAUUUAUUGAUUGUCUUCCUUAUGAGUGGUGGUCGGGGACGAGCGAUGGUCUUUUCCUACCAAUCUAUCCCCCUAGGAGCAUGCGCGUAAUGCUUUGUUUCGAUAACUAAUUGAUUUUUGCAAUAAGUAUGUGAGUUCUUUAUGACUAAUGUUGAGUCCAUGGAUUAUACACACUCUCACCCUUCCACCAUUUCUAGCCUCUCUAGUAUCGCGCAACUUUCGCCGGUACCAUAAACCCACCAUAUACCUUCCUCAAAACAGCCACCAUACCUACCUAUUAUGGCAUUUCCAUAGCCAUUCUAAGAUAUAUUGCCAUGCAACUUUCCAUCGUUCCAUUAUUAUGACAUGCUUUAUCAUUGUCAUAUUGCUUGCAUGAUCAUGUAGUUGACAUCGUAUUUGUGGCAAAGCCACCAUUCAUAAUUCUUUCAUACAUGUCACUCAUGCAUCAUUGCACAUCCCGGUACACCGCUGGAGGCAUUCACAUGGAGUCAUAUUUUGUUCUAAGUAUUGAGUUGUAAUUCUUGAGUUGUAAGUAAAUAAAGUGUGAUGAUCAUCAUUAUUAGAGCAUUGUCCCGGUGAGGAAAGGAUGAUGGAGACUAUGAUUCCCCCACAAGUCGGGAUGAGACUCCGGACGAAAAAAGGCCAAAAAAGAGAAAGAAGGCCCAAAUAAAAAAAUGAGAGAAAAAGAGAGAAUGGACAAUGUCACUAUCCUUUUUGCACACUUGUGCUUCAAAGUAGCACCAUGUUCUUCAUAUAGAGAGCCUCCUAUGAUAACACUUUCAUAUACUAGUGGGAAUUUUUCAUUAUAGAACUUGGCUUAUAUAUUCCAAUGAUGGGCUUCCUCAAAAUGCCCUAGGUCUUCAUGAGCAAGAAAGUUGGAUGCACACCCACUUAGUUUCUUUUGUUGAGCUUUCAUAUAGUUAUAACUCUAGUGCAUCCGUUGCAUGGCAAUCACUACUCACUCACAUUGAUAUCUAUUAAUGGGCAUCUCCAUAGCCCGUUGAUACGACUAGUCGAUGUGAGACUAUCUUCUCCUUUUUGUCUUCUCCACAACCACCAUUCUAUUCCACCAUAGUGCUAUAUCCAUGGCUCACACUCAUAUAUUGCGUGAAGAUUGAAAAAGUUUGAGAACAUCAAAAGUAUGAAACAAUUGCUUGGCUUGUCAUCGGGGUUGUGCAUGAUUUAAAUAUUUUGUGUGGUGAAGAUAGAGCAUAGCCAGACUAUAUGAUUUUGUAGGGAUACCUUUCUUUGGCCAUGUUAUUCGAGAAGACAUAAUUGCUUAGUUAGUAUGCUUGAAGUAUUAUUAUGUUUAUGUCAAUAUUAAACCUUUAUCUUGAAUCUUAUGGAUCUGAACAUUCAUGCCACUAUAAAGAAAAAUUACAUUGAGAAAUAUGUUAGAAAGCAUUACACAUCAAAAAUUCUUCUUUUAUCAUUUACCUACUCGAGGACGAGCAGGAAUUAAGCUUGGGGAUGCUUGAUACGUCUCCAACGUAUCUAUAUUUUUUGAUUGCUCCAUGCUAUUAUAUUAUCUAUUCUGGAUGUUAAUGGGCUUUAUUUUACACUUUUAUAUCAUUUUUUGGACUAACCUACUUACCGGAGGCCCAGGCCAAAUUGUUGUUUUUUUGCCUAUUUUAGGUUUCGAAGAAAAGGAAUAUCAAACGGAGUCCAAACAGAAUGAAACCUAUGGGAACGUGAUUUUCUCAACAAACGUGAUCCAGGAGACUUGGAGUGGCCGUCAAGAAACAAGGGAGGAAGGCACGAGGCAGGGGGCGCGCCUACCCCCCUGGGCGUGCCCUCCACCCUCAUGGGCCCUCUGUUGCUCCACCGACGUACUUAUUCCUCCUAUAUAUAUCCACGUACCCCCCCAAACAUCCAGGAGCACCACAAAAACCUAAUUCCACCACCGCAACCUUCUGUACUCGAGAGAUCCCAUCUCGGGGCCUUUUCCGGAGAUCCACCGGAGGGGGCAUUGAUCACGGAGGGCCUCUACAUCAACUCCAUGGCCUCUCCGGUGAUGUGUGAGUAGUUUACUUCAGACCUACGGGUCCAUAGUUAUUAGCUAGAUGGCUUCUUCUCUCUCUUUGGAUCUCAAUACAAAGUUCUCCUCGAUUUUCUUGGAGAUCUAUUCGAUGUAAUCUUCUUUUGCGGUGUGUUUGUCGAGAUCCGAUGAAUUGUGGGUUUAUGAUCCAGAUUAUCUAUGAACAAUAUUUGAUUCUCCUCUGAAUUCUUUAUGUAUGAUUGGUUUAUAUUUGCAAGUCUCUUCGAAUUAUCAGUUUGGUUUGGCCUACUAGAUUGAUCUUUCUUGCAAUGGGAGAAGUGCUUAGCUUUUGGUUCAAUCUUGCAGUGUUCGAUCCCAGUGACAGAAAGGGAACCGAUAUGUAUUGUAUUGUUGCCAUCGAGGAUAAAAAGAUGGGGUUUAUAUCAUAUUGCAUGAGUUUAUCCCUCUACAUCACAUCAUCUUCCUUAAAGCAUUACUCUGUUCUCUUGAACUUAAUACUCUAGAUGCAUGCUGGAUAGCGGUCGAUGUGUGGAGUAAUAGUAGUAGAUGCAGAAUCGUUUCGGUCUACUUGUCUCAGACAUGAUGCCUAUAUACAUGAUCAUACCUAGAUAUUCUCAUAACUAUGCUCAAUUCUAUCAAUUGCUCAAUAGUAAUUCGUUUACCCACCGUAAUACUUAUGCUCUUGAGAGAAGCCACUAGUGAAACCUAUGGCCCUCGAGUCUAUCUUCUAUCAUAUUAAUAUUCCAAUACUUAGUUAUUUCCUUUGCCGUCUAUUUUACUUUGCAUAUUUAUUUCUCUUUAUCAUAAAAAUACCAAAAAUAUUAUCUUAUCAUAUCUAUCAGAUCUCACUCUCGUAAGUGACCGAGAAGGGCUUGACAACCCCUUUAUCGCGUUGGUUGCGAGGUUAUUAUUUGUUUGUGUAGGUGCGUGGGACUUGAGUGUGAUCUCCUACUGGAUUGAUACCUUGGUUCUCAAAAACUAAGGGAAAUACUUACGCUGCUUUACUGCAUCACCCUUUCCUCUUCAAGGGAAAACCAACGCAGUGCUCAAGAGGUAGCAGGGCCCUUGUUAGCAAGGCCUUCCGUAUAGGGUUUUAUUGGCCGACGGCCCGAGCAGAUGCACAUGACCUUGUCCAACAUUGCGUCAGAUGCCAACUCUUCGCCAAUCAAAGCCAUAUGCCCCCACAGCCUUACAAACAAUCCCCAUCACUUGGCCUUUUGCGGUCGGACCCCUUAAAGGAGGAAGCCAUAAGAGAAAGUACCUGCUGGUCAUGGUGGAUAAAUUCACUAAGUGGAUAGAGGCCAAACCAUUCAAAACGGACGAAGCGGGGCCGAUAAUAUAUUUCAUAUCCGGCAUGGUACACCGUUAUGGUGUUCCACACAUCAUAAUAACCGAUAAUGGCUCUAAUUUCACAGUAGAUGAAGUGAAAACUUGGUGUGCUAAUCUCGGUAUUAAACUCGAUUACGCCUCGGUCUACCACCCGCAGACAAACGAUCAAGUCGAACAGGCGAAUGGUCUUAUUAUGGGUGGCAUCAAACCUAGACUAGUGCAGUCUUUGAAAGAAUAAGAUAAGCACUGGGUGGAGGAACUUGACUCCGUACUCUGGGGGCUGCGGACCACGCCCAACCGCACCACUGUAUAUACACAUUUCUUCAUGGUGUACGGUGCAGAAGCAGUGUUACCCUGUGAUAUUAUUGAUGAAUCACCUCAAGUGCGCAUGUACGAAGAGAGAGAAGCCGAGCUUGAUUGGCAGGACAUCCUAGAUGUCUUGGAGGAGGAGCGCGACGUCGCAAAAGCCCGUUCCACAUUUAUCAGCACCAGGCUCGCAGGUAUCAAAGCAGAGAAGUGCGGGCCAAGACUUAUAACAUUGGUGAACUCGCUCUACGCCUGACGGAGAAGAAAAAGGACAAGCUCAGGCCCAAGUGGGAGGGUCCAUUCUUCAUUGGCGAGGUUCUCAUCGGAGGAGCGUACCGCCUGCGUGAUGCGUCAGACAAUCACCUGGAGCCGAACCCCUGGAAUGCGGCCAGACUACGACGAUUUUAUGCCUAGCGCUAAACUACUGUGUUCGUCUUCUCCCUCCUGUUACUAACGUUAUUUUUUCUCUAUUUUCGUUUUUUAUCUUUUUUCUUUCGUUUUGCUCUUUAGCCUUACGGUUUCAGUACGGCUAGACCGUCCUUACCUGAUGUGUACACCUCUGCAUAUGUGCGUUCAUUAUACCUGGCGGCUUCUCGUAUAGAAGCUUGCUAUUAUUCUUUGAGCAUCAAGCUCACCACAUAUGCGUUUUUCUAUAUGUACCUUUUCUUCGCCACUAUAUGCAUCAAUAUGACCUAAGUUUUGGCCAAGCUAGGUUGCCUGGCUCCUGUGCUUAUGCCCUACGUUCCUGUUAGUUCGGCUAGGGCAUAAAGGGAGCACCUCUGCGAUUGUUACUGCCGGGUCAUUCGGAUGUGUACCUCAGACUGGGUGAAGCCGAAAGCUAGCGUUCUUAAGGGAAUAUUCGGUCGGCGAAUUAAACAUGUUUUCGCAUUCACUUCAUUGUGAAACCCCAGAAGUUACUUACUCUGCGAUUUUUUCAAUCACAGUUCGGACAUGCACAUUAAACGCAUGCACACCCAGGGAAAGGAACCCUUAACGGAACUAUUCUCUCUGGAAGAUGUUUCUUACAUAAUGUAAUAUAACAUAACUAGUCGGAUACACAUUGUCUGUUCAAGCAACUAUGACCCCUACGCCUGGUUCCCAUGCAUACCCCGGUAUAUUCUGCCGUAAGGGUAUUCGGAAACACUAUGCACCUUCGGGUCUAGAGGUCGAAGCGAAAAGGUCGGCCAUGACAAUUGUUUUAUUAUCCAGUUAGAAGGAAAGUACAUAGUCACCUAGGACUCAAAAACUUCCUCCUCUAUACCGUCCAACAGGUGGUCUAAUUUACAAUCCUGUUGGGAGUAUCUAGCAGCCACCUCUACUUGGCCAUAUACUAAACUAACGGGAAUUUCUUCCCCAUUUAACCCUACCGGUCCGACCCGGGCCAUGUGAUUCGGAUCCAGCUGAGUAUAUCGUGUUUUUAUCAUGGCCCAGGCUUCUCGCACACCCUCCUGGCAGGCCGAUAUCUUCCACAGCCGGAUACGCCGCCACGCUCCCUUGAACAGCUCUACAAGCUUCUCCAUACUCCCUAGAGGGGAGUCGGAUGGCCAUAAGGCCUUGGCUAUACUCCGCAUUGCCAUCUGCGACAACUCUUGCAGAAGAUCACUUGAUGAUCCGGACACCUCCUCUUCAGGACGACCCGUCAAUAUACCUGCGAUCACUGCUAUAUCAGCUACUGUUACUUCCAAAAUAUUAUAAUAUAAAUGCGGUCACAUAUUGAAUAUGCCGCCUCGCAGUUUUUUGUUGUCCUUCACGGAGUCAGCUAGCUGAGCUCGCACGUCUUUCAGUUCUUUUCCCAGUUUGGUGUUCGAAUCCUGGAGCUUCUUUUUCUCCUGAACGACUUUUGUUAACACAAGCUCGCCCGCUGCUAGCAGUUUUUUGGCUUCGUGUUCUUCGCCUCGAGCGGCGUCCAGCUGCUCCCGCAGUUGGUCUAACGAUCCAAUACAAUGAUAAGCAACCGGAUUAGCAUUAUUAGUAUACAAUUAUGAUUUCUCGAUGGAGGGGAACAUUACCGGGGGAUGCCUUCUUGGACUUCUCCAGUUCGGCAUUGGCAAUAGACAUCUGGCGCUGACACUCUUCUAGUUCCUGAGUUAACAUGAUGUUCUUCUCUGUAAGCACCUGGUUGUACAUUGAUCCUUAAAUCAGUUGUUUCAACUACUUUAAGUCUCGGGGGCUACUGGUAUAUGGUUAUCAUAGUCAGACAAAACAAACUUACCUGCACAUCUUUUAAAUGUUGUUUUGUGGAUCUAUUAAGCCCAUCUCGAGCAGCUCGGAUAUACGCAUCGGCAGAGUUGAAGGCGUUAAAUGACUCUUCUGAAAAGCCAGGAUUACUUACGCAUGAAGUGAUGUCUACUACACAACCUUCUUCUUGUAGACGUUGUUGGGCCUCCAAGUGCAGAGGUUUGUAGGACAGUAGCAAAUUUCCCUCAAGUGGAUGACCUAAGGUUUAUCAAUCUGUGGGAGGCGUAGGAUGAAGAUGGUCUCUCUCAAGCAACCAUGCAACCAAAUAACAAAGAGUCUCUUGUGUUCCCAACACACCCAAUACAAUGGUAAAUUGUAUAGGUGCACUAGUUCGGCGAAGAGAUGGUGAUACAAGUGCAAUAUGGAUAGUAGAUAAUGGUUUUUGUAAUAUGAAAAUAUAAAAACAGCAAGGUAACUAAUGAUAAAAGUGAGCACAAACAGUAUUGCAAUGCGUUGAAACAAGGCCUAGAGUUCAUACUUUCACUAGUGCAAGUUCUCUCAACAAUAAUAACAUAAUUGGAUCAUAUAACUAUCCCUCAACAUGCAACAAAGAGUCACUCCAAAGUCACUAAUAGCGGAGAACAAACGAAGAGAUUAUGGUAGGGUACGAAACCACCUCAAAGUUAUUCUUUCCAAUCAAUCCGUUGGGCUAUUCCUAUAAGUGUCACAAACAGCCCUAGAGUUCGUACUAGAAUAACACCUUAAGACACAAAUCAACCAAAACCCUAAUGUUACCUAGAUACUCCAAUGUCACCUCAAGUAUCCGUGGGUAUGAUUAUAUGAUAUGCAUCACACAAUCUCAGAUUCAUCUAUUCAACCAACACAUAGAACCUCAAAGAGUGCCCCAAAGUUUCUACCAGAGAGUGAAGACGAAAACAUGUGCCAACCCCUAUGCAUAGAUUCCCAAGGUCAUGGAACCCGCAAGUUGAUCACCAAAACAUACAUCAAGUGGAUCAUAGAAUACCCCAUUGUCACCACAGGAUCCCACGCAAGACAUACAUCAAGUGUCCUCAAAUCCUUAAAGACUCAAUCCGAUAAGAUAACUUCAAAGGGAAAACUCAAUCUAUUACAAGAGAGUAGAGGGGGAGAAACAUCAUAAGAUCCAACUAUAAUAGCAAAGCUCGCGAUAAAUCAAGAUCGUGCCACCUCAAGAACACGAGAGAGAGAGAGAGAGAGAGAGAGAUCAAACACAUAGCUACUGGUACAUACCCUCAGCCCCGAGGGAGAAUAAGGGAGUCCUGGAUUAGGGGGUCUCCGGACAGCCGGACUAUAUCCUUUGGCCGGACUGUUGGACUAUGAAGAUACAAGAUUGAAGACUUCGUCCCGUGUCCGGAUGGGACUCUACUUGGCGUGGAAGGCAAGCUAGGCAGUACGGAUAUGUAUAUCUCCUCCUUUGUAACCGACCUUGUGUAACCCUAUCCCCCUCCGGUGUCUAUAUAAACCGGAGGGUUUAGUCCGUAGGACAACAUACAAUCAUACCAUAGGCUAGCUUCUAGGGUUUAGCCUCUCCGAUCUCGUGGUAGAUCAACUCUUGUAAUACUCAUAUCAUCAAGAAUAAAUCAAGCAGGACGUAGGGUUUUACCUCCAUCAAGAGGGCCUAAACCUGGGUAAAACAUCGUGUCCCUUGCCUCCUAUUACCAUCCGCCUUAGACGCACAGUUCGGGACCCCCUACCCGAGAUCCGCCGGUUUUGACACCGACAUUGGUGCUUUCAUUGAGAGUUCCUCUGUGACAUUGCCGUAAGGAAGGAUGCCUCAUCUCGUUGUUAAAAACAACAUUACCGCCAGGGGAGCCCUGGCUGUCGGCCAAACUCUCUGGCUAGGCAGUUUCAUCAUGACCGCCUAUUCGACUGCUGAACUGACGAUGACUUCUCGGGUCAUCAAAAACAACCUCCACAUCGGCUCGGAAUUCGCCGAGCAGAUGGAUCCAAUGGAGAUCUCUUCCCUAAACGAGCUCUUAGAUCACAUCGCCGCCUUGGGUGUCGCUACGGACUAUGAUCGGAUUGGGCUUAAACCCGAUUGAAGGGAGAUUAACUCCCCACCGGUCACCCAUCAUGUUGCGGUGGUGGAGGAACAAUGCGGCGAUUCUUCCUCUAUCUUGAGGACUAACUAUGUCUGAAUUCCUGAGCUCACCGAGCCGGAUACCCGUUUAUGGGAGGACAUCACCCAAACCCUGAACCUGGAGUCAGGCAGCGGGCCAGACUCAUCGGGCAACACCCCGGAAUCCGAACUUCCAAGAUCAGAAACUCCUCGGCCCUUGGGCCUCAGAUUGGGUAGGGGUUCAGACUCAAAACCACCCACCCACCCAGACAUAAAUGAUCUUUCCCACAUCAGGCAAGAGCCCCAUGAAACAGUACAUCAUUAUUGGGCCAGAUUCCUCCUUGUGAUGAACAAGGUUAAGGACUGCUGCGAGGAAGAUGUAGUCUCACUUUUCUGCAAUAACUGCACGGACAAGGGAAUCCUUAACGCCAUAAGUCACCGUGACAUAUCACGCUUUGCCAACUUGGCGUCCAUAGUAUGAAAGUACUGUGCGAUGGAAAGUUCCUGGAAAACCGAAACAAAAUUUUGGGUUAAUCUGGCUCCAUAUAUACACCCAGUCCAAGGAAAAAGGGUGCACUAUCAUAAGACACCCGAGUUAAUUACAAAGAAGCAAAAACCCUCUACAGGGCGUGGAACUGUAUUGGAGGGAUGGCUCAACGGACCCUCUAAAAUUCAUAGUACAACGGAUACCAUACCAACACACAACCUUAGAGCAUGUUGGAUACUCCGGCAGGUGGCCAAAAGCGGCGAAGACCUUCUCAUUCCAGAUGCCACAGAGCACCAUCCCAGUGAUAACAAUACGGUAUUAACAGUCUUUGAGACCUUCGCAUCAAAUAAUAGGCGCAAGCGAACACUCCGCAGCAUUGCCGAAAUCUGCCACGUAGCAGCACUAAAUCCAUGGAGCGACACGGCUAUUACCUUCAAUGCCAGCGAUGAACCUAAAUUAUGAAUAGCCCGAGCACCAGCAGCACUGGUCCUUAGUCCAAUCGUGGACGGCUUUCGACUCACUAAAGUGCUCAUGGACGGCGGCAGUGGAUUAAACCUCAUCUACGAGGAAACUCUUCAAAAAAUGGAAAUAGACUGGAACCGCAUUGAGCGAAGCAGCACAACUUUCAGAGGAAUCAUCCCCACUUGGGAAGCACGCUGUGCUGGGAAAAUCACACUAGAUGUGGUAUUCAGCACGCCGAAGAACUAUAGGUCUGAAGAAAUUACAUUCCAAGUGGCCCCGUUCAGUAGCGGAUACCACGCCCUUUUAGGGCGGGAGGCGUUCACGAUCUUCCAAGCCAUACCCCAUUACGGGUACAUGAAGCUCAAAAUGCCCGGGCCCAACAGAAUCAUCACUCUCGCUAGUGAUCCGGACACAACACUCCACGCCGAAAACAAAACAGCCGCAUUGGCCCUUGAGGCAUUAUCCGAAGCCUUUGCGGCUGAGGAAUUAACUGCGCUGCGCUCCACAGUGGACAGGGACGACGUGAUACUUGACAAGAGAUCCAAGUCCACCUCUUUCAAACCAGCGGAUGAAAUAGUCAAAUUCCAAGUCCACCCAACGGACCCUACAAAAACAGCCUCCAUCGGGGCACAGUUAAACCCCGCCGUGGACGCUGCACUACGAGAGUUCUUGUGCGAGAAUUGGGACAUAUUUGCCUGGCACCCCUCAGACAUGCCAGGAAUCCCACACAAGCUGGCCGAGCACAGCCUUAAUAUCCUAAAAGGAUUCAAGCCGGUCAAGCAGGCUCUUCGGUGUUUCUCUGAACCUAAGAGACAGGCUAUGGGAGAGGAAGUAGCCAAGUUAUUGGAGGUCGGAUUCAUCAAAGAAAUAAAACACCCGGACUGGCUAGCAAACCUGGUGAUGGUACCAAAGAAGGAUAAAUCAUGGUGCCUUUGUGUCGAUUUCAAGGACCUCAAUAAAGCUUGCCCAAAGGAUCCCUUCCCCCUCCCCCGCAUUGAUCAAAUUAUUGAUGCUACCGUAGGACACGAGUCAUUGUGUUUCCUCGAUGCAUACUCCGGUUACCACCAAAUCAAGAUGGCAGAGUCCGACCAAGCCGCAACGGCAUUCAUCACACCAUACGGUCCCUUCUGUUUCAACAUAAUGCCUUUCGGGCUCAAAAAUGCCGGCGCAACAUAUCAGCGCAUGAUUCAGACAUGUCUGGAGAAACAAAUCGGCAAAACAGUAGAGGCAUACGUAGAUGAUGUGGUCAUAAAAACCAAACACAUCGACUCUCUGAUACAUGACUUGAGGCUCAUAUUCGACAACCUCCGAACAUACGACAUCAAGCUCAAUCCAGAAAAAUGCGUUUUUGGCGUACCAGCCGGAAAGCUCCUGGGUUUCAUUGUCUCUAGUAGAGGUAUUGAAGCUAAUCCGGCCAAAAUCCGAGCUUUGUCACAGUUGGCUACCCCAACAGACCUCAAACAAAUCCAGAAGUUAACUGGAUGCGUGGCGGCUCUAAGCUGCUUUAUCUCCCGCUUAGGAGAAAAGGCAUUACCCCUUUAUCGCCUCCUUUGGCGCACCGAACACUUCGAGUGGACGGACGCUGCCACAGCCAGAUUGGAUGAAAUAAAAGCCAUACUGGCAACCAACCCAAUCCUGGCCGCGCCAAACAUCAGCGAACCAAUGCUAUUAUACAUUAUGGCAACUCAUCAGGUUGUAAGCGUAGUGUUCGUCGUCGAACGAGAAGCGGACGGACAUAAAUUCCCUCUUCAAAAGCCGGUAUACUAUGUAUCCACUAUCCUCACUCCAUGCAAAUCAUGGUACCCACAUUAUGAAAAGAUAGCCUAUGCGGUAUUCAUGGCAUCCCGGAAACUGCGACACUAUUUUCAAGAGUGUUCGAUUACAGUAGCCUCGGAGGUGCCACUCAAUGAUAUCAUAAACAACCGCAACGCCACGGGCCGGAUUGCCAAAUGGGCCAUUCAGCUCCUCCCGUUCUACAUACAUACAAACCUCGGCGAGCCAUUAAAUCGCAAGUAUUGGCCGACUUCGUCGCCGAAUGGACGGAAGCCGAACUCCCUAAAGAGUACGGCGCGUACUCCAAUUGGAUUAUGCACUUCGACGGCUCCAAAAUGCUGGCUGGACUGGGGGCUGGCGUCAUCCUGACAUCCCCAACCGGAGAUACAGUUCAAUACGUAUUGUAGAUACUGUAUACAGAUUCCAACAAUACAGCCGAAUACGAAGCCCUGUUACAUGGUCUUCAGAUGGCAAUUUCCAUGGGCAUUCAACGCCUGGAGGUGCGUGGGGACUCGAACCUUGCAAUAUCCCAAAUAAAUGGAGACUUUGAUGCCAAGGAUCCGAAGAUGGCGGCCUAUCGUAACGCCGUCCUAAAGAUGUCAGCUCGGUUCGAGGGGCUCGAAUUUCACCAUGUGGCUCGAGAAAACAAUCAGGCGGCGGAUAUCCUCGCCCGCAUCAGCGCAAAACGCGACGCGGUUCCCCCAACAUAUUUUUAGAGAGGUUGUUUAAGCCAUCCGUGGUAUGGGGGGGGGGACACCGGCAAAAUUAGUCCGGACCCGGCCACAACACUCGAUACCGAACACUCUGACAUAAUCGGAGGCUUUGCCACCGAAACAACACCUUCAGCCCACGUAAUAAUGGCCAUCAUAGCCCCGUGGACAGAACCAUUCCUGGCCUACCUAACUAGGCAGGAACUUUCGGAGGACCAAAAUGAGGCACGCUGCAUAGUGCGGCGAUCUAAGGCCUACAGGGUCCAUGAGGGAGAACUGUACAAAAAAGCACUACCAGAGUCCUUCAAAGGUGCAUCUCCGAAGAGGAAGGGCGGAACCUUUUGGCAGAAAUUCACGCUGGACUCAGCAGCCACCACGCCGCAGCCCGGGCUCUUGUAAGCAAGGCCUUCUGUACAGGAUUCUAUCGGCCGAUGACCCGGGUAGACGCACAGGACUUGGUCCAACGCUGCGCCGGUUGCCAGCUUUUUGCAAAUCAAAGCCACAUGCCACCCACCGCCCUCCAAACAAUCCCCAUUACGUAGCCCUUCGCGGUCUGGGGGCUUGACAUGGUUGGACCCCUUAAAGGGGGAACCCACAAGAAAAAAUACUUACUGGUCAUGGUGGAUAAAUUCACCAAAUGGAUAGAAGCCAAACCUGUUAAAACAGCCGAAUCCGGAUCGGUGAUAGACUUUAUAUCUGGGGUCGUACACCGUGAUGGCGUCCCCCACAACAUCAUCACUGACAAUGGCACGAACUUCACGGCCGAUGAGGUAAAACUCUGGUGCAGCAAAAUGGGCAUCAAGCCCGAUUAUGCUUCAGUCUAUCACCCACAAACCAAUGGCCAAGUUGAGCGAGCAAACAGUCUUAUAAUGAGCGGCAUUAAACCCAGAUUAGUGCGGUCCUUAAUAGAGUCUAACACGCACUGGGUAGAGGAGCUCGACUCCGUACUGUGGGGGCUCCGAACCACGCCGAAUCGUAGUACCAGAUAUACACCCUUCUUUAUGGUGUACGGCGCAGAGGCAGUCUUGCCCUAUGACAUAAUUCAUGACUCACCUCGAGUGCGCAUGUACGAAAAAAGAGAAGCCGAGCUCGAUCGGCAGGACAGUCUGGACACCCUGGAGGAGGAGCGGAUGUGGCAAAAGCCCGUUCCGCAUUUUAUCAGCAACAGGCUCGCAGAUACCAAAGCAGAGAAGUACGGGCCAAAACUUAUAGCGUUGGCGAACUAGUUCUACGCCUGCCGGAUAAGAAAAAGAACAAGCUCGAGCCCAAAUGGGAAGGUCCCUUCAUUAUUGACCAAGUUCUGACCGGUGGAGCGUACUGUCUGCGGGAUGCAUCGAAUAAUUGACUCGAGCCGAACCCAUGGAAUGCGGCCAGACUCCGAAGAUUCUACGCCUAGCGCCGGACUCUAUGUUCGUCUCCUUCCUAUGCCCAUUUUUGCAUAUACAUUAUCUGUCUUGUUUUUCUUUCUUUCUUUCUUUCUUUCUUUUAUUCUUUCUCUAGGCCUUCAAGGGCCAACUUGUGCCUCGCUUGCACAUUAUAGAUGCGCUAGCCACGCUCAUCAUACCUGGGGGCUUCUUUCACAGAAGCUUAAUUAUUUAUCUGGGCCUCAUGCCCCGCACAUGUGUUAUACUUCUGCAUGUACCUUUUUUUGCCAUUAUAUGCAUUGAUAUGACUUAAGUUUUGGCCAAGCUGGGUUGCCUGGCUCUUGUAUUUAUGCCCUACGUUCCCGUUAAUUCGGCUAGGGCAUAAGGGGAGCACCUCUGCGAUUGUUACUGCCGGGUCAGCCGGAUGUGUACCUCAGACUGGGUGAAGCCGAAAGCUAGCGUUCUUAAGAGAAUUUUUGGUCGGUGAACAAAAGAUGAUUUUUAUUUAUUUUCCAUAUGUGCCCCCAGAUGUUUUUCCUGUGUUUUCUAUCGCAGUACGGACAUGCAUUUUAGGGCAUGCAUACCCAGGGAAAGGAACCCUUAACGAAACUAUUCUCCCUGGAAGAUGUUUCUUACUACCCAUGUAAUAUAACAUAACUAGUUGGUCACUUGUCUGUUCAAGCACUAAUGACCCCUAUGCCCGGUCUCCACGCAUACCCCGAUUCUUAUAUAACUGAGUGGGUAUUCGGAUACACUCCGGACUAUCGGGUCCCGAGGUUGAAGCGAAAAGGUCCGCCAUGACAAAUGAUCUACAAUCCGGCUAGAAGGCGUUAUACAUGUCACUUUCAUUACAUAGUCAUGCAAACUGACUAAAUUCCUCUUCUAUACCAUCCAACAGGCAGUCUAGCCUACAAUCCCGUUGGGAAUACUUUGCGUCUAAUUCUACUUGCCCAUAAACUAAGCUAACGGGGAUAUCUUUUCCGUCGGGCCCCACAGGUCCGACCUCAGCCAUGUGAUUUGGGUUAGCCUUGGUAUACCGCGUCUUCACCAUGGCCCAGGCUUCCUUGGCACCUUGACGGCAGGCCGAUAUCUUCCAUAAUCGGAAGCACCGCUGUGCUCCCUUGAGCUUCUCCGUAAGCUCUGCAACGCCUUCUGGCAAGGAGACGGAUGGCCACAAGGCCUGGGCAACACCUUGCAUCACGUGCCGAACUUGUUCGUGCAGUUGUGAGAGCUCGGAUAGAAGAUCACCCGCAGACCCGGGCAUCUCCUCCGCGGGACGACCCAUCAGCAUACCUGCAGACAUAACUCUGUUAGCCGGCUUCUCCGCUGUCCCCUUUAUUAAGGGUUCGUUCAAGCACUUACUGAAAAUGCCGCGUCGAAGCCGCUUAUUCUCCUUCUCGGAGUCCGCAAGCUGGGCUCGAGCAUCUUUCAGUUCCACGCUCAUCUUGGUAUUGGCGUCUUGGAGAUUGUUUUUCUCCUGCCUGACCUUAGUCAGCACGCGUUCGCCAGCCUUUAGCUGCCGAACAGCAUGCUGCUCCUCUGGAUUCUCUCCGUAUUCAUCUGCAAUAUCUAUUGUUAGAUCUGCAGCUAUGCCGCAUGCUAUAUGGUACCUAUGAUUCUUUGAAAGAAAUGUUACCAGCAGGGGCCUUUUUAGGUUCCUUCAAUGCAGCAACAGCGGCCCGUAGUUGGGUCUUGCAUUCCUCCAGCUCCUGUGAUAGUCGACUAUUCUUCUCUGUAAGAACCUGCACAAUAAGAUGAUCCUUAAAUCAGUUCUGCUAACUGUUUCAAGUCUCAGGGGCUACUGAUACAUAUAAUCGUCAGAUUUUCUUACCCGUACAUCCUUUACAUACUGGUCCGUGGCUCUGGCUAGACCAUUUUGAGCAGCACAGAGAUACGCCUCUCCAGAAUUGAAGGCAUCAAAUGCCUUUGGUGAGAAGCAAGCAUCGCGGAGUACGGCCCGGUGACGCCUAUGAUUCAUGGCGCUCUCCACUUCUAAAUUUGUAGCAGAUAGCGUAUCCGCAUCCUCUGUAGGGGGAGUAUUCGGUGUCAGCCCCAUGUCGGCUUCCGCCUCUAUGUCCGGCCCUGGAGCCCGACUGGUGCAAGCGUGAUCAGCAGCCUCACCAGACAUAUUCCGGCGAGCGUUUUUUCUAUUAAAGAAACAUGGAUGUCAUUAUAUUUCAAGAAAGACGACAACCACGGAGCGGGGUUUCUACCAUACCUCUAUGCCGACAUCUCCGUCUUGACCGCCUUUCUUUUUGGCCAGCCCGGCCUCGGUGCCUCUUGUUGGCGAGUUGCUGCGGGUUCGGCAUGGCGUCCCGAAUGCCUUCCCUGUAAAAACACCAUAUGCAUAUGGUAGGUGAAGUGUCCAAAUGGGGAUCCUAGUUUUUGGAGUUGGGAUUUUUGGUUUUUCUUACUUGCGAUCCAGGAAGCAGUCUGGGAUAGUCGGCUGUAAUGGCCACCAUGGCGUCAUCACAACUUAAUUGAUAGAACCGCCAGUCUAUCAACUCCAUGAAUAUGUCCGGAUCUUAUUCGAGUCCGGGACCGAGGGCCUGGUCAGGGUCCUCUGGCUGUGGAGAUGGGCUGCUGACCUCCCUUAUGGCUUUUCGUAGUUCCUAUCGCAAAAUGGCAAGGUGAGUACCUACGACAAUGAAUGCGGGAAGAAUGGGAGUAGGGAGAUAUAACUCACCCAGCUUGGCGGGUUGUACAUGGAGAAUCAUCCCGUGACUUGAUGUGGAUGAACUCCUCUUGCUCUCCUCUGAACAAUUCAGACAGAAUUUUUGCUAAAGCAGCGGCGUUGUUCGGACCCUUACGCCCGCAAUGGGUGGCGUCAUCUUCCCCGUUAAAACACCAAGGGAUGCCCUCGAUAUUGAAGUGGUUGCACUCCCUGCAUUAUACAUAUUGACAUAACCUCGAUUACUGUCAUCCUGAUUGAGCCAACACUUUAAUCCGGUUCAUCAGGUAAAGGACUUCCCAGUUGUCUUCCUCUUGGGGGCUCCGUGGGCGCCAACUUCGGCGUUUCUUUAAAGGAGCAUUGCUGAACUCAGGAAGACCGCGCCGAACAGGGUCCGGAAGGGGGACGUCCUCCAUAUAAAACCAUUCCGAAGGCCAGUCUUCGUACGUCUUCUUCGGAGUACUGGACAGGUAUCCGGUUUCGGUGAUGCGCCAUAUUUCGGCUCCGCCCACUUGAUAAAGUAACCCCUGCUGUGUGCGAGGGACGAGGCAAAAUAACCUUUUCCACAGCUCGAAACAAGCCUCGCAACCCAGGAACAACUCGCAGAGGGCAACAUAGCCGGCAAUAUGUAAAAUAGAGGGAGGGGUGAAAUUAUGCAAUUGGAGGAAAUAGAACUCCAGGAGCCCACGGAGGAACAGAUGAAUCGAAAAUCCAAGUCCCCUCAAUAAAUAGGGGACAAGGCAUACCCGCUCCCCCAUAGAGGGGCUAGGGAAGCUCUCCGCUUGCUCCCCGCCAUUAUAGGUGGCAAGCCCGGCUCGAACGGGCACCAUAUACGCCGGAGGGAGAAAUCCCUUAGUCUGCAGUUCGACUAGUCGACUGUGUGGGACUGAACACCUCUCCCAAUCACCGAGCUUAGGGCUACGGGGGCGGGAAGAGGAGCUGCGGUUGUCGGCCAUGAUGGAAUGGAUUUUUCCGAAGCGCGCUCCGAUGGAUUCUCGCUGGGGUAGGAUGAUGUGGAUUGGAUCUAAGAAUCCCCAUCCCUUUAAUAGACGAUUUAUUUAUCUGGCUAGGGGGGCAAAUGUAAAAGCGCCCUGGCUCCUCGUAUUCAUUCGACGCGUGGAAGAGAGCCCUUAUUGGGCACAGAAGCCAAGAGGUCCAAGAUUUAUGGGGCCGGACACUACUUAUCAGAUAUUCAAGAUUUGGAGAAGAACCCGCCAUGCAAUGCCGAAGACAAUACUGCGCGCCGGACUCAUCGUCAUUGAAGCCUGGUUCAGGGGCUACUGAGGGAGUCCUGGAUUAGGGGGUCUCCGGACAGCUGGACUAUAUCCUUUGGCCGGACUGUUGGACUAUGAAGAUACAAGAUUGAAGACUUCGUCCCGUGUCCGGAUGGGACUCUACUUGGUGUGGAAGGCAAGCUAGGCAGUACGGAUAUGUAUAUCUCCUCCUUUGUAACCGACCUUGUGUAACCCUAGCCCCCUCCGGUGUCUAUAUAAACCGGAGGGUUUAGUCCGUAGGACAACAUACAAUCAUACCAUAGGCUAGCUUCUAGGGUUUAGCCUCUCUGAUGUCGUGGUAGAUCAACUCUUGUAAUACUCAUAUCAUCAAGAAUAAAUCAAGCAUGACGUAGGGUUUUACCUCCAUCAAGAGGGCCUGAACCUGGGUAAAACAUCAUGUCCCUUGCCUCCUGUUACCAUUUGUCUUAGACGCAUAGUUCGGGACCCCCUACCCGAGAUCUGCCGGUUUUGACACCGACAGAGAACUACUCCCUUCUCGUCAUGGAUCGGGAAUCAGGGAUGAGAUUAUGCAACAAGCCGGCGAUGUGCAAAAUAUCCGCGAAGGUAAACUCCAUGAUCAGCGCCCAAUUGGAUUCGAUGGGUAUGGGCACAGGCGGUUCGGAGUCCGUGGCCGGGGAAGAAUCCGGUAGUUCGGCAUCACGGCUCCCGUGAAGGGUAAGGUUGAUACUCGGCUCGAUCGCCGAUGAGAGUGCGGCCUCCAUGGCGGGGUCUAUCCACCCGUCCACGGAUGGCACAACUGGUUCCGAAUUGAGGGUCGGAGUAGUUGCUGGUGCGAUCUCCUGAACACUGUCCGAUGGUAGAGAUAAAUCAUACUCAUCGUGACAGUGUGGCGCACAAGGCAGGGGCUCGAAUCCGUCGAAGAUCAAGUCUUCACGGAUAUUGGCCGUGUAGUUUAAGCUUCCAAACCUGACCUGGUGGCCAGGGGUGUAACUCUCGAUCUGCUCCAGAUGGCCAAGCGAGUUGGCCCGCAGUGCGAAUCCGCCGAAUACAAAGAUUUGUCCGGGGAGAAAAGUCUCACCCUGGACUGAAUCACUAUCGAUGAUCGUAGGAGCCAUCAAGCCUAACGGCGACGACGCAGUGGGCAACAUAGCCGGCGAUGUGCAAAAUGGAAGCAGGGGUGAGAUUAUGCAGUUGGAGGCCGUAAAACUCCAGGAGCCCGCGGAGGAACAAUGAAUCGGAAAUCCGAGUCCCCUCAAUAAAUAAGGGACAAGGUAAACCCGCUCCCCCAUAGAGGGGCUAGGGAAACUCUCCGCUUGCUCCCCGCCAUUGUAGGUGGCGAGCCCGGCUCGGACGGGCACCAUAUACGUCGGAGGGAGAAAUCCCUUGGUUUGCAGUUCGACUAAUCGACUGUGUGGGACUGAACACCUCUCCCAAUCACUGGGCUUAGGGCUACGGGGGGCGGGAGGAGGAGCUGCGGAGGUCGGCCAUGCUAGAGUGGAUCUUUCUGAAGCACGCUCCGAUGGAUUCUUGCUUGGGGAGGAUGGUAUGGAUUGGAUCUAAGAAUCCCCAUCCCUUUAAUAGAAAAUUUAUUUAUUUGGCUAGGGGGGCGAAUGUAAAAACACCCUGGCGCCUCGCAUUAAUUCGACGCGUGGAAAAUAGCCCUUAUUGGGCAUAGAAGCCAAGAGGUUCAACAUUUAUGGGACCGGACACUACUAAACAAGUAUUCAAGAUUUGGAGGAGAACCCGCCUUGCAAUGCCGAAGACAAUACUGCGCGCUGGACUCAUCGUCAUUGAAGCCUGGUUCAGGGGCUACUGAGGGAGUCCUGGAUAAGGGGGUCUCCGGACAGCCGGACUAUAUCCUUUGGCCGGGCUGUUGGACUAUGAAGAUACAAGAUUGAAGACUUCGUCCCGUGUCCGGAUGGGACUCUACUUGGCAUGGAAGGCAAGCUAGGCAAUAUGGAUAUGUAUAUCUCCUCCUUUGUAACCGACCUUGUGUAACCCUAGCCCUCUCCGAUGUCUAUAUAAACCGGAGGGUUUUAGUCCAUAGGACAACAUACAAUCAUACCAUAGGCUAGCUUCUAGGGUUUAGCCUCUCUGAUCUCGUGGUAGAUCAACUCUUGUACUACACAUAUUAUCAAGAAUAAUCAAGCAGGACGUAGGUUUUUACCUCCAUCAAGAGGGCUCGAACCUGGGUAAAACAUCGUGUCCCCUGCCUCCUGUUACCACCCGCCUUAGACGCAUAGUUCGGGACCCCCUACCCGAGAUACGCCGGUUUUGACACCGACAUUGGUGAUUUCAUUGAGAGUUCCUCUGUGUCGUCGCCGUUAGGCUUGAUGGCUCCUACGAUCAUCGAUAGUGAUGCAGUCCAGGGAGAGACUUUUCUCCCCAGACAGAUCUUUGUAUUCGGCGGAUUUGCACUAUGGGCCAACUCGCUUGGCCAUCUGGAGCAGAUAGAGAGUUAUGCCCCUGGCCACCAGGUCAGGUUUGGAAGCUUAAACUACACGGCCGAUAUCCGCGGAGACUUGAUCUUCGACGGAUUCGAGCCCCUGCCCUGUGCGCCACACGGUCACGAUGAGUAUGAUUUAGCCCUACUAUCGGACAGUGUUCAGGAGAUCGCACCAGCAACUGCUCCGACCCUCAAUUCGGAACCAGUUGCGCCAUCCAUGGACGGGUGGAUAGACCCCGCCACGGAGGCCGCACUCUCAUUGGUGAUCGAGCCGAGUAUCGACCUUCCCCUUCACGAGAGCCGUGACGCCGAACUCAUGGUUUCCUCCCCGACCACGGACUCUGAACCGCCUGCGCCCGUGCUUAUUGAAUCCGAUUGGGCGCCGAUCAUGGAGUUUACCUCCGCGGAUAUUUUUCAGCACUCGCCCUUCGGCGACAUACUGAACUCAUUAAGGUCUCUCUCCUUGUCAGGAGAAUCCUGGUUGAACUAUGUCCGGCAGGAUUGGGAUGCGGAUGACGAAGAAAUUCGCCGCCCACCCACCACCCACUUAGUAUCCACCAUCGACGACUUAACCGACAUGCUCGACUUCGACUCCGAAGACAUCGACGGUAUGGACGAUGAUGCGGGAGACGAAGAGGAACCACUGCCCAUAGGGCACUGGACAGCCACCUCGUCAUACGAUAUAUACAUGGUGGGCGCACCCAAAGAAGGCAAUGGCGACGAGACAACGGAGGAUGACCCCUCCAAGAAGCAACCCAAGCGCCAACGUCAGCGGCGCCGCUCUAAUUCUCGCCAAAGAAAAAGCGGUGACACCGGCACAGGAGACAAUACCACUCCGGACAGUGCCGAAGACGACAACAAUCCCCCACAGCAAGAUUUAGGGCAGGAGGAUGGAGAAGCCAGCCCUCCCGAGAGAGCGGCAGAUGGAGAGGCGGAGGAUGAUAAUUACAUGCCUCCCUCCGAAGAUGAGGCAAGCCUCGACGAUGACGAAUUCAUCGUGCCUGAGGAUCCCGUCGAACAAGAGCGCUUCAAGCGCCGGCUUAUAGCCAUGGCAAACAGCCUUAAGAAAAAGCAACAACAACUUCAAGCUGAUCAAGAUUUGCUAGUCGAUAGAUGGACUGAAGUCCUUGCAGCCGAGGAAUAUAAACUCGAACGUCCCUCCAAGAGUUACCCAAAGCGCAGAUUGCUACCCCGACUAAAGGAGGAAGCACCAAAACCUACAUCUCCAGCGUAUGACGCGGCUGAUCGGCCACCUCAUGGCCGCGACAGAGAGCCACUUCAGCCAAAAGCUCAGCCCGCACUCCGAUGCCACUCAAAUAAAAAUGUCAAGGCACAGGGAAAUACGCCAGACCUGCGAGACGUAUUGGAGGAAAAAGCAAAAUAUGCAAGACCGAUCUACGGAUCGCAAGGGCGCGCCACUAUGCGAGAUGAUAAUCGUCACGCCGGAUACAGUAAAAGUAAGUUCAUCCGGGCUGAACACAACAGGCAAGACUCAUUUGAGCUACGUCGCAAUAUAGCCCAGUACAGAGGCGCCGCACACCCCCUAUGCUUCACAGACGAAGUAAUGGAUCAUUAAAUCAUAGAGGGUUUCAAACCCGUAAAUAUCGAAUCAUACAAUGGCACAACAGAUCCUGCGGUAUGGAUCAAGGAUUUCCUCCUGCACAUCCACAUGGCCCGCGGUGAUGAUCUACACGCCAUCAAAUACCUCCCACUCAAGCUCAAAAGACCAGCUCGGCAUUGGCUCAACAGCCUGCCAGCAUAAUCCAUUGGCUGUUGGGAAGACCUGGAAGCUGCAUUCCUCGACAACUUCCAGGGCACUUAUGUGUGACCACCGGAUGCCGAUGACUUGAGCCACAUAAUUCAGCAGCCAGAAGAAUCGGCCAGGCAAUUCUGGACACGGUUCCUAACAAAGAAAAAUCAAAUCGUCGACUGUCCGGAUGCAGAGGCCCUAAUAACUUUUAAGCACAACAUCCGCGACGAGUGGCUAGCCCGGCACCUUGGCCAGGAAAAGCCGAAAUCUAUGGCAGCCCUCACAACACUCAUGACCCGCUUCUGCGCGGGAGAAGACAGCUGGCUGGCUCGCAGCAAUAACAUAUCAAUGAACCAUGGUACUUCGGAUACCAAGGAUGGCAAUGGCAGGUCAUGUCGCAACAAACAUAAGCGCCGCAUUAACAUCGACAACACCGAGGAUACGACAGUCAAUGCCGGAUUCAAAGGCUCUAAACCCGGUCAGCGGAAAAAGCCAUUAAAAGAAGCACUCUGGGCCCGUCCAGUUUGGACCGUAUACUCGACCGCUCGUGUCAAAUACACGGCGCCUCCGACAAGCCAGCCAACCACACCAACAGGGAUUGUUGGGUGUUCAAGCAGGCCAGCAAGUUAAUUGCCAAAAACAACGAUAAGGGGUCACAUAGCAAUGACGAAGAGGAGCCCCGGAAGCCGAACACCGGAGGACAGAAGAGGUUCCCCCCACAAGUGCGGACGGUGAACAUGAUAUACGCAACCCACAUCCCCAAGAGGGAGCAGAAGCGUGCGCUGAGGGACGUAUAUGCGUUGGAACCAGUCGCCCCAAAGUUCAAUCCAUGGUCCUCCUGUCCGAUCACCUUCGAUCGCAGGGACCACCCCACUAGUACCCGUCAUGGCAGAUUCGCCGCACUGGUCCUAGACCCAAUCAUUGACAGAUUUCACCUCACUCGAGUCCUUAUGGAUGGCGGCAACAGCCUGAACCUGCUUUACCAGGACACAUUGCGCAAAAUGGGUAUAGACCCCUCAAGGAUCAAACCCACAAAAAUGACCUUUAAAGGCGUCAUACCAGGUGUAGAGGCCCAUUGCACAGGCUCAGUAACACUGGAAGUGGUCUUCGGAUCCCCGGAUAACUUCUGAAGCGAGGAGUUAAUCUUCGAUAUAUCCCCGUUCCGCAGUGGCUAUCAUGCACAGCUCGGGCGAACCGCAUUUGCAAGAUUCAAUGCGGUACCACAUUAUGCAUACCUCAAGCUCAAGAUGCCAGGACCUCGGGGGGUCGUCACAGUUAAUGGAAACACAGGGCGCUCUCUCCGCACGGAGGAGCACAUUGCGGCCCUUGCAGCAGAAGCGCAAAGCAGCCUCUUAAGGCAAUCCACUAGUUCGGCGGUUAAGGACCCGGAAAACUUCAAGCGCGCCCGGAGUAAUCGGCAACAAGACCGCUUGGCAUGUUCCGAGCUCACAUAGCAAUGCGGCCCCCACCCCAGUCCCAGCCAAAUGGCGAAAUCUGUGCCGCGGGUACAUAAUUACGCAUUGAAUAUACCAUGGGCAUAGGUGGGGAGGGGGGGGGGCACGACUAUGGCACGCCCCAAGAUGCGGCUCAACCGCACUAGGGGCUUCACACUUUAUUAUUUUUCUCUCUUUCAGGACUUUAAUCUCUGGAAACCCUGUCCGGCAGUAUGAUUGCCGAACACAUCAUGCAGCAACCAAGGCGAUAGAAAGCUACGUCGCACCACGGAACUCCCAGGUGGAUUACGAUAACGAGUGAAAUACUUGCUUUAAUGCCAUUCCUCAGCUUACCCUUGGAGGGGACACUUCAAAUAGUCCUACUUUUUGUUUAUUGCCCUACUUGCAUCAUUUUGCUUUAACGCACCUUUUUGAAUAAACAAUGCAUAGCACUAGACUAUUAUCGCAUUCUUUAUUUUUCCUUUUUUUAUAUACAUAUAUAUGUUCAUUCAUGACAUCCAGCACCCGUACACCCUGGUACGGCUAAUACGCUAGGGGCUUAAGCAUACCCCUUAUUACGACGUGAGAAGUCCAAACACUUUCAACAGUGCGGCACCCCAAACUUAUAACAUUAUAUGCAUCAGCUCCGAAUCAUGUCUUCGGUCAAUAGUGGGGUUUGCCCGGCUCCCAUGUUUUCGUACCUUACGUUCCGCUAUAUCGGCUAAGGUAGCAUUGGGAGAACUACUGCGAUUGUGCCCCGGUUCUGCUGGGCUAAGCACCUCAGUAGAGAAAGCUAAAACUGACUGUCAUGAUAAGGCGAGAGACUGGUCGCUGUUCGAGAGGUUUAGAGUCCCUAAAGACUUAUGCCGCUUAGAGCGAGGAGUCGGCUUUGUCCGGCUUAAGGCGUGUAUCGCGCCUCGAAUUCGGCCUUCCGAAUACUAGGGGCUUCGCCGAAAUUUAAAAUUAUAGAAUUCUAUGGCUAAGUGAGAGUGAUAAAGCAUUAUAGUCCGAUUGCCUUGUUCGUUGUGCUGAGCACCUCCCUCGAAGGACCCAAAAAUGGGAACAAGAGUGCUCAGGUUUAUCCCCGAACACCCCAGCACUCGUGGCAUGGGGGCAGAAGCCGACGACUAGCCAUCUCUCAGAUUUGAUAAACAGCCGAACAUAAGGUAAUAUUUUAAAUUCAAACAAGCGUUGCAUAGCGCAUAUGAACAAGUUUUCAUAAUAUAGGAUCACACGAGCAAGUUCAUUCAAAUAUUACAUCUUUCACACACUCGUCCGCUACAAGACGGGCACCCUUCAGGACACCCUCAUAAUACAUCUCGGGGUAGUGAUGCUCCUUGCCUUGCGGAGGCCCCUCCUUCACCAGCUUUACGGCGUCCAGCUUCGCCCAGUGCACCUUCGCACGGGCAAAAGCCCGGCGUGCACCUUCGAUCCAGAUGGACCGCUUGAUGACUUCCAGCCGUGGGCAGGCAUCUACAAGCCGCCUCACUAGGCCGAAGUAGUUGUUGGGAAGGGCGUUGCUAGGCCACAUCCGGACUAUAAGGCCCUUCAUGGCCUGUUCGGCCGCCUUGUGCAGCUCGACCAGUUGCUUCAGCUGGUCGCUCAUAGGCAUCGGGUGUUCGGUCCUAGUAUACUGAGACUAGAACAGCUUGUCCGUCGAGCUUCCCUCCUCGGCCUGGUAAAACUAUGCGGCAUCCGACAUGCUGCGGGGCAAAUCUGCAAAUGCUCCUGGAGAGCUCCGGACUCGGGUAAGUAACAAGUAAUUUACUUUCACAUGCUUGCUUUGCAUAUUGAAUGCCUUACCCGCCGCUAUCUUCCUCAUCGCCUCAAUCUCCUGGAGGGCUUUUUGGGCUUCAUCCUUGGCAUUCUUUGCGCUCUCAAGGGCCGCGGAAAGCUCGGACUCCCGCGUCUUCGAGGCAAGCUCUAGCACCUCGUGCUUCGUCACAAGAGCUUGGAGCUCUUGCUGCACCUCGGCCACCCGUGCCUCUUUCUUUUUCCACUCGGUGCGCUCCUGGGCUGCUUUGUUUUCGGCCUCGGACAUUGCUUGCUUCAGGGUUGCCACUUCGGUCGUGGCCCCUGGCAAAUUCAUGAUGAUCCUGUCAUUUUGCAAUCGCAUCUUUUUUUAUAUAUACAUAUAUCUAUAGACUAGGUAUUACUUACCUUUGUUCUCCUUGAGCUGCCUCUUAGCAAGGCCGAGCUCUUUCUAGGACCCCUCGAGGUCCUGCUUCAGUACGGCGACCUCCGCAGACAGUGCGGCAGAGGUCAGCAGCGAAGCCUGCAUACGCAUAUACUUGUAUUAGACUCCUGCAGAUAUUAUUUGAUCCUCUAUUCGGCUUUUCUUUGUGAACACCAAACAGAGCAUCAGGGGCUACUGUCUAUGCGGUAACAUUUUUCCUAUAUUUUAAAUACUUACCUCAAAGCCUGUUAAAAGGCUGGUGAGGGAGUCCUGGAUUAGGGGGUGUCCGGACAGUCGAACUAUAUCCUUUGGCCGAACUGUUGGACUGUGAAGAUACAAGAUUGAAGACUCCGUCCCGUGUCCGGAAGGGACUUUCCUUGGCGUGGAAGGCAAGCUUGGCGAUACAGAUAUGCAGAUCUCCUACCAUUGUAACCGACUCUAUGUAACCCUAACCCUAUCCGGUGUCUAUAUAAACCGGAGGGUUUUAGUCCUUAGGCCAACGUACACAUCAACAACCAUACCAUAGGCUAGCUUCUAGGGUUUAGCCUCCUCGAUCUCGUGGUAGAUCUACUCUUGUACUACCCAUAUCAUCAAUAUUAAUCAAGCAGGACGUAGGGUUUUACCUCCAUCGAGAGGGCCCGAACCUGGGUAAAACUUCGUGUCCCUUGCCUCCUGUUACCAUCCGGCCUAGACACACAGUUCGGGACCCCCUACCCGAGAUCCGCCGGUUUUGAAACCGACAUUGGUGCUUUCAUUGAGAGUUCCUCUGUGUCAUCGCCAUCAGGAAGGAUGCCUCGCCCCGUCUUUAAAGACGACACCAUUGCUAAGGGAGCUUUGGCUAUUGGCCAAACCCUCUGGCUAGGUGGUUUUCUUAUGACCGCCUGUUCGGCUUCUCCGCCGACGAUGACCUCUCGAGCCAUCGAAAACAAUCUUCAUGUCAGCUCGGAACUCGCCGAGCAGUUAGAUCCAAUGGAGCUUUGCUCCAUAAAUGAGCUCUUGGAUCGCUUCGCCGCCCUGGGAGUCGCUACGGAUUACGACCAAAUCGGACCUAAAACUGAUCUGAGAGAGAUUAACUCUCCCCAAGUCACCCAUCACAUUGCCGUGGUAGAGGGACAGCGCGACGACCCUUCAUCUAUCUUAAGGACUCGCUAUGUCUGGAUUCCCGAUCCCUCCAAGCUGGAUACCCGUGGAGGGGAGGAUAUCACUCAAGACCUGAACUUAGAGUCAGGCGACGGGCUGGAUUCAUUAGACAACAUCCAGGAAUCCAAAUUUUUGAGUUUAGAAAUUCCUCGGCCUCUGAGCCUUAGAUGGGGUGAGGCUUCGGAUUUAAUUCCACCCACCCACCCCAACAUAAGCGAUCUAUCUAAAAUCAGGCAAGAACACGAUGAAACAGUACAUCAUUACUGGACCAGAUUCCUCCUGGUUAAGAACAGGCUAAGGGACUGCCGCGAGGAAGACGCGAUCUCAAUCUUCUGCAAUAAUUGCACGGACAAGGGAAUACUCAACGCCAUAAGUCACCGUGAUAUUACACGCUUCGCUGACUUGGCGUCCAUUGUACGAAAGUACUGUGCGAUGGAAAGUGCCUGGAAAACCGAAAUAAAAUUUUGGGACAAUUCGGCCCUGAAUACAAACCCAGUCCGAAAUAAAAGGGUGCAUCAUCACCAGUCACCCAGGUCAAGCACUAAAAAGCAAAAACCCUCUACAGGGCAGGGAACCGUACUGGAAGGAUGGCUUAAUGGACCCUGUAAAAUUCACAGUACAGAGGACGCCACACCAACUCACAGCCUCAGAGCAUGUUGGAUACUCCGGCAGGUGGCCAAAAUUGGUGAAAAUCUCCUAAUUCCGGAGGCCACAGAAAGCCACCCCAGAGACACCAAUACGGCAUUAACAGUCUUCGAGACUUUCGCAUCAAAUAAUAUGCGAAAAAGGACACUCCGCAGCCUUGCCAAAGCCUACCAAGUAGCAACAAUAAACUCAUGGAGUGACAUGGCUAUUACCUUUAACGCCAGUGAUGAACCUAAAUUCUGAACAGCCCGAGCACCAGCCGCAUUGGUCCUCAGUCCAAUAGUGGACGGCUUUCGUCUUACCAAGGUACUCAUGGACGGCGGCAGCGGAUUGAACCUCAUUUAUGAGGAGACCCUUCAAAAAAUGGAAAUAGACUGGAACCGCAUUGAGCGAAGUAGCACAACCUUUAGAGGAAUAAUCCCCAGUCGGGAAGCGCGUUGUACAGGAAAAAUCACACUAGAUGUGGUGUUCGGCACGCCGGAUAAUUAUAGGUCCGAAGAGGUCACGUUCCAGGUGGCUCUGUUCAGCAGCGGUUAUCACGCUCUGCUAGGGCGGGAAGCAUUUACAAUCUUCCAAGCAAUACCCCGUUACGGGUACAUGAAGCUCAAGAUGCCCGGGCCUAACGGGAUAAUCACUCUCGCUAGUGAUCCGGACAUAGCACUCCGCGCUGAAAACAAGACAGCCGCACUGGCCCUCGAGGCACUAUCCGAAGCCCUAGCGGCUGAGGAGCUGACCGUGCUGCGCUCUACGGUGAAUAGGGGCGAUGUGGUACUCGAUAAAAGAUCCAAGUCCACCUCCUUUAAACCGGCAGACGAAAUAGUGAAAUUCUAAGUCCAUCCAACGGACCCGAAUAAAAUAGCUUCCAUCGGGGCACAGUUACACCCUGAUGUCGACGCUGCAUUGCGAGAGUUCCUACGAGAGAACUGGGACAUUUUCGCCUGGCACCCUUUAGACAUGCCAGGAAUCCCACGUAGGCUAGCCGAGCACAGCUUAAAUAUCCAAACAGGAUUUAAACAUGUCAAACAGGCUCUUCGACGUUUUUCCGAACCUAAAAGACAGGCCAUGGGAGAGGAGCUAGCAAAGCUAUUGGAGGCCGGAUUCAUCAGAGAUAUAAAACAUCCGGACUGGCUAGCAAAACUGGUGAUGGUACCAAAGAAGGACAAAUCCUGGCGCCUGUGUGUUGAUUUUAAAGACCUUAACAAGGCUUGCCCAAAGGAUCCCUUCCCCCUCCCCCGCAUCGAUCAAAUUAUUGACGCUACCGCAGGACACGAUUCGUUAUGUUUCGUCGAUGCAUAUUCUGGCUACCAUCAAAUCAAGAUGGCAGAACCAGACCAAGCCGCAACGACAUUUAUCACACCAUACGGGCCAUUCUGCUUCUACAUGAUGCCCUUCGGGCUCAAAAACGCCGGUGCAACAUAUCAGUGCAUGAUUCAGACAUGUCUGGCAAGCCAGAUCGGCAAAACAGUGGAGGCAUAUGUAGAUGAUGUGGUCAUCAAAACAAGACAUGUUGAAUCUCUAGUAGACGACUUGAGGCUCACAUUUGAUAACCUCCGAACAUGCGACAUCAAGCUCAACCCGGAAAAAUGCGUUUUCGGCGUUCGAGCCGGAAAGCUCUUGGGCUUCAUUGCAUCCGGUAGAGGAAUUGAAGCAAAUCCAGCCAAGAUCCGAGCUCUGUCGCAACUGGAUAUCCCAAAGGACCUCAAACAAAUACAAAAGUUAACCGGAUGCGUGGCGGCUCUAAGCCGCUUUAUCUCCCGCUUGGGAGAAAAGGCCCUACCCCUUUACCGCCUCCUUCGGCGCACCGAACACUUCAAAUGGACGGAUGCAGCCACGACCGGACUUGACGAAAUAAAAGCCAUACUGGCAACAAACCCAGUCCUGGCCACGCCAAACAUUGGCGAACCAAUGCUAUUAUACAUUGCAGCAACACAUGAGGUUGUAAGCGCAGUGCUCGUCGUCGAACGAGAAGCGGACAGACACAAAUUCCCCCUUCAAAAGCCGGUCUAUUAUGUGUCCACUGUCCUCACUCCUUGCAAAUCACGGUACCCGCAUUAUUAAAAGAUUGCGUAUGCGGUAUUCAUGGCAUCCCGGAAGCUACGACACUACUUUCAAGAGUGUUGAAUAAUAGUAGCCUCGGAAGUACCACUUAACGAUAUUAUAAACAACCGUGACGCAACGGGCCGGAUUGCAAAAUGGACCAUUGAGCUCCUCCCGUUCGACAUAACUUAUAAGCCACGACGAGCCAUCAAGUCACAAGUCUCGGCCGACUUCGUCGCAGAAUGGACGGAGGCCGAACUUCCUAAAGAGUACGGCACAUAUUCAAAUUGGAUCAUGCAUUUCGACGGCUCCAAGAUGUUGGCCGAACUAGGGGCUGGCGUCGUUUUGAAGUCCCCCACAGGAGACACAGUUCAAUACGUACUACAGAUUAUGUACACGGACUCCAACAAUGCAGCCGAAUAUGAGGCCCUUUUACAUGGUCUCCGGAUGGCAGUAUCCAUGGGCAUCCAACACCUAGAGGUGCGCGGGGACUCGAACCUCGCAAUAUCCCAAAUAAAUGGAGACUUCGAUGCCAAGGAUCCAAAAAUGGCAGCUUACCGCAACGCCGUCCUAAAAAUGUCACAUCGGUUCGAGGGGCUUGAAUUUCACCAUAUAGCCCGGGAAAAUAAUCAGGCGGCAGAUGUCCUGGCACGCAUCGGCGCAAAACACGAUGUAGUCCUCCAACAUCUUCUUGGAAAGGCUGUUCAAGCCAUCCGUAGCAUGGGAAGGGGAGCCGAACAAUAACAGCCCAGACCCAACCGCACUGCCCGACACCGAACAUUCUGACACAAUCGGAGGCUCUGCCAAUGAAAUAACACCUUCAGCCCACAUAAUAAUGGCCGUUAUCGCCCCGUGGACAGAACCAUUCCUCGCCUACCUUACUAGGUAGGAACUCCCCGAGGACCAAAAUGAGGCAUGCUGCAUAGUGCCGCGAUCCAAAGCCUACAGAGUCCACGAGGGAGAGCUUUAUAAGAAAAGCACUACCGGAGUCCUUCAAAGGUGCAUCUCCGAAGAGGAGGGGCGGAACCUCCUGGCUGAAAUUCAUGCCGGACUUGGCGGUCAUCACGCUGCAGCCCGGUCCCUUGUAAGCAAGGCCUUCCGUACAGGCUUUUAUUGGCCGACGGCCCGGGCAGACGCUCAGGACUUAGUCCAACGAUGCAUCGGUUGCCAGCUCUUUGCAAACCAAAGCCAUAUGCCACCCACCGCCCUCCAAACUAUCCCCAUUACUUGGCCCUUUGCGGUCUGGGGGCUUGACAUGGUUGGACCCCUUAAAGGCGGAACCCACAAGCAAAAAUACUUACUGGUCAUGGUGGAUAAGUUCACCAAAUGGAUAGAAGCCAAGCCUGUUCAGACGGCCGAAUCCGGACCAGUGAUAGACUUUAUAUCCGGGGUUGUACACCGUUACGACGUCCCCCACAGCAUCAUCACUGAUAACGGCACGAACUUCACGGCCGACGAGGUAAAACUCUGGUGCAAAAACAUGGGCAUCAAGCUCGAUUAUGCUUCCGUCUAUCACCCACAAACUAAUGGCCAGGUUAAACGUGCAAAUGGUCUUAUCAUGAGAGGCAUCAAACCCAAAUUAGUGUGGUCCCUCAAGGAAUCUAACAUGCACUGGGUAGAGGAGCUCGACUCCGUACUCUGGGGGCUGCGGACCACGCCGAAUCGCACCACCGAAUACACACCAUUCUUUAUGGUGUAGGGCGCAGAGGCAGUUUUGCCUUGCGACAUAAUUCAUGACUCACCUCGAGUGCGCAUGUAUGAAGAAAGAGAAGCCGAGCUCGAUCGGCAAGACAGCUUGGACGCAUUGGAGGAGGAGCGUGACGUGGCAAAAGCCCAUUCCGCAUUCUAUCAACAACAGGCUCGAAGAUACCAAAGCAGAGAAGUACGUGCCAAAAAUUACAACGUUGGCGGAUUAGUUCUACGACUACCGGACAAGAAAAAGGACAAACUCAAGCCCAAGUGGGAAGGUCCCUUCAUAAUUGACCAAGUCCUGACUGGUGGAGCGUACCUCCUGCGGGAUGCAUUGGAUAACCGACUCGAGCCAAACCCAUGGAACGCAGCCCGUCUCCGAAGUUUUUAUGCCUAGCGUCGGACUCUGUGUUCGUCUCCUUCCUCUAUCCAUUUUUUUAUAUUUUCUGUCUUACAUUUCUCUUCUUCUCUCUCUCUCUCUCUCUCUCUCUCUCUCUCUCUCUCUCUCUCUCUUAUAGCCUCUAAAGGCUCAUAAAGUGGCGCGCUAUCCGCGCUCAUUAAACCUGGGGGCUUCUUUAAACAGAAGCUUAUUCAUGCGGGCUUCAUGCCCAACACAUGUGUCACACUUCCGCAUGUACCUUUUAUUCAGCAUUAUAUGCAUCGAUAUGACUUAAGUUUUGGCCAAGCUGGGUUGCCUGGCUCCUGUGCUUACCCCUACGUUCCCGAUUGUUCGGCUAGGUGGCAAAGGGAGCACCUCUGUGAUUGUUACUGCCGGGUCAGCCGGACGUGUACCUCAGACUGGGUGAAGCCGAAAGCUAGCGUUCUUAAGGGAAUAUUCGGUCGAUGAACUAAAGGUGAUCUUUUUUAUUUUUAUCUAUACGCCCCUAGAUGUUUCCUGCGUUUCUUUUCGCAGCAUGGACAUGCACCUUAGGGCAUGCCUCCCAGGGAAAGGAACUCCUAACGGAACUAUUCUCCCUGGAAGAUGUUUCUUACUAACCAUGUAAUAUAACAUACCUAGUCGGGCACUUGUCUGUUCACACCCUAAUGACCCCUACGUUUGGUCUCCAUGCAUUCGCCGGUUCCUAUAUAACCGCAUGGGAAUUUGGACACACUCCGGACCGUCAGGUCCCGAGGCUGAAGCGAAAAGGUCGGCCAUGACAAAUGAUCUACAAUCCGGCUAGAAGGCAUUAUAAAUGUCACUUAAAUUACAUAGUCAUUUUGACUGGUUGUAUUCCUCUUCAAUACCAUCUAACAGGCUGUCUAAUUUACAGUCCUGCUGGGAAUACUUUGCGGCCAACUCUACUUGGCCAUAUACUAAGCUUACAGGGAUCUCCUUCCCAUCGGGCCCUACAGGACCGACCUCGGCCAUGUGGUUGGGGUCAGCCUUUGCGUACCGCGUCUUCACCAUGGCCUAGGCCUCCCUAGCGCCUUGAUGGCAGGAUGAUAUCUUCCACAACCGGAAGCGCCGCCGUGCUCCCUUUAGCUUCUCCGCAAGCUCUCCAAGACCUUCGGGCAUGGAGACGGAUGGCCACAGGGCCUGGGCGACGCCUCGCAUCGCCUGCCAAACUCGAUCGAGCAGUUGCGAGAGCUCGGGAAGAAGGUCACCCGUAGAACCGGGCAUCUCCUUUGUAGGACGACCUAUUAGCACACCUACAGACAUUGCUCUGUUAGUCGACUUCCCCGCCAAACUUUCUUUCAAAAGGUUCGUUCAAGCACUUACUAAAUAUGCCGCGCCGAAGCUGCUGAUUCUCCUUCAUGGAGUCUGACAGCUGGGCACGAACAUCUUUCAGCUCCUUGGGAGAAACAAGCGUCGCGAAGAAUUGUCUGGCGACGCCUGUGGUUCAUGGCACUCUCCACCUCAGAGUUAGUGGCAGACAACCCGUCCACAUCCUCCGCCGGAGGAGCGUCUGGCGUGCGCCUUGCGUUCGCCUCUGCCUCCGAACCAGGCUUUGGAGCCUGGCUGGUGGAGGCGCGAUUGGCAGCCUCUCCGGAUAUAGUCCGACGAGGUCUCUUUGUCCUGAAAAGAGCGCAAGUGUCAAUAUGCCUCGAAUGUAUAACGCCUGCGAUAAGGGGGCGCGCCAUACGUUUGCGUUGACGCCUCCAUCCGGACUGCACUUCUUUUUUGCCCGCGGGGCCCUACGGCCCCUCGUUGGCUUGUCGCCGCAGGUUCGGCCUUCCGCCUUAAAAACCUCCCCUGCAAAGUUCGGUUGCAAUUAGGAAACUGAACACGAGUGGGCGGACACCUAUUCGGGGUACUAGGACUUCGAUCUCAGGUACCUGGGGCGUCAGGAGUAGCCCUGGGUAAUUGGCCGUAAUGGCCACCAAGGCGUUGUCCUUACUCAAUUGAUGGAACACUCCAUCAAUCAGGUCCACAGAUAUGUCCGGAUCCUCUUGAGAGGCUGGGUCGAGGGACCGUCCUGGGUCCUCGAGUUGUGGAGGAGGGCUGCUUAUUUCCUUAACAGCCCGGCGCAGUUCCUGCAUUAAAGUCGCCAGACUGAAUAUUUAACAAUGGGAAUACAAAACGGAUGGACAAGUAAAUAUGGCCGCUUACCCAGCUCGGGGGAUUGUGCAUGGAGAAUCCACCCCGAGGGUUGACGCGGAGAAAUUCGUCCUCUUCUCCCUUAUACAAAGUGGACAAGAUCUUUAGUAGAGCGGCAGCUGAAUCCGUCCCCUUGCGACCGUAGCGGUGGCGUCGUCCUCCCCGUUGAAGUCCCACAUGGGGUGGCUUCUAUACUGAAGCGGUUGCACCCCCACAUAAUGCAUUCGGCCAUAACCCCGAUCAUGGUUAGUCCGGAAUGGGCUAACAAUCUUAUUCGGCCCAUCAGGUAAAUGAUGUCCCUGUCACAUUCCCUCUGAGGGCUCCGUGGGCGCCAGCUUAGGCGCUUCUUUAAGGGAGCACUGUUGAAUUCAGGGAGGCCGAUUCGGACAGGAUCCGGCAGCGGGACGUCUUAUAUAUAAAACCAUUCCGAGGACCAGUCUUCGGACGCCUUCUUUGGGGUUCCGGACAGAUAUCCGGUCCCGGCGAUGCGCCACACUUCGGCUCCGCCCACUUGAUACAUUGACCCCUUCUUGGAACGGGGCACGAGGCAAAAUAGCUCCUUCCACAGUCCGAAAUGAGCUUCAACACCCAAGAAUAGCUCGCAGAGGGCUACAAAGCCCGCGAUAUGCAAUACUGAAGCAGGCGUGAGAUGAUGUAGCUGGAGGCCGUAGAACUCCAGCAGCCCCCGGAGAAAUGGAUGGAUUGGAAAUCCGAGCCCCCUUAUUAAGUAAGGGACGAGGCACACCCGCUCUCCUUUGGAGGGAUUAGGGGCAUUCUCUGCUUGCUCUCCACCGUUGUAGAUAGCAAGACCGGCUCGAAUCGGGAACAUAUAGGCCGGGGGGAGAAAUCCCUUGGUCUGAAGCGUCACUAGCUCGCUAUGCGGGAUGGAACAUCUCUCCCAAUAUCUAGGCUUAGGGCUGGAAGGCUAGGGGAGGAGUUGCGACGUCUGGCCAUGGUGGAAUGGACCUUUGUCGGAUGCGCUCUGAUGAACACUCGCGGAGGGGAGAAGGUGUGGAUUGGAUCUAAAUCCUCGUCCCCUUAAAUAGGGCAGCUCCUUUACGCGGCUAGGGGUGUGAAUGUAAAAACACUCAGACUUUUCAUAUUCGUUUGACACGUGGAAAGCGGCCAUUAUUGGGCGCAGAAGCCAAGGAGUGCAAACAUCUACAAGAAACCGGACUUUAUUCAACAGGUACACGGAAUUUGGAGGAGAACCCGCCUUGCAAUGCCGAAGACAAUAUGCGCGGCGGACUCAUCGUCAUUGAAGCCUGGUUCGGGGGAUACUGAGGGAGUCCUGGAUUAGGGGGUGUCCGGACAGCCGGGCUAUAUCCUUUGGCCGGACUGUUGGACUGUGAAGAUACAAGAUUGAAGACUCCGUCCCGUGUCUGGAAGGGACUUUCCUUAGCAUGGAAGGAAAGCUUGGCGAUACGGAUAUGAAGAUCUCCUACCAUUGUAACCGACUCUAUGUAACCCUAACCCUAUGUGGUGUCUAUAUAAACCGGAGGGUUUUAGUCCGUAGGCCAACGUACACAUCAACAACCAUACCAUAGGCUAGCUUCUAGGGUUUAGCCUCCUCGAUCUCGUGGUAGAUCUACUCUUGUACUACCCAUAUCAUCAAUAUUAAUCAAGUAGGACGUAGGGUUUUACCUCCAUCGAGAGGGCCCGAACCUGGGUAAAACUUCGUGUCCCUUGCCUCCUGUUACCAUCCGGCCUAGACGCACAGUUCCGGACCUCCUACCCGAGAUCCGCCGGUUUUGACACUGACAUUGGUGCUUUCAUUGAGAGUUCCUCUGUGAACACCAAACAGAGCAUCAGGGGCUACUGUCUAUGCGGUAACAUUUUUCCCAUAUUUUAAAUACUUACCUCAAAGCCUGUUAAAAGGCUGGCACAGGCUUCAGUCAGUCUGCUCUUGGCAGACUGAACCUUCUUGAUCACCGCACUCAUAAUAGUGUGGUGCUCUUCAUCGAUAGAAGCGCCGCGAAGCGCUCCCAGCAGAUUGUCCGGUGCCUCUGGAUGGACAGAGGUCACCGGCAUGGGCGUCUUGCCCCUUUGGGAAGGGAGCCGCCGUCCCGAGUCCGGAACCACUGGAGGUUCUGGCGCGGUGUUCGGCUUAGAGACGAACUUGGAGCCCCCGGGAGCCUUGCUCCCUUUGCUCCUGGAGUCUGGAAGGUCGCCUUGAGGCGCCUCCAUGAAAGCACAAGUGCUCCCUGGGUGGUUUUGGUAAUUAAUGUCAACAUAUCUCUUGUUGGACUAACACUUUUACCCAGUAUGUUUCAGAUAAGUUCAACAAUGGAGUGGCAUGGACUAGAGGAUGUGGAACCCAUUCAAGAUGCUAAGGACAAAGGAUUGGCUCAAGCUUCAAGAUCAAGACUCUACAUUUUCUAUUUUAGUGAUCCAAGAUCACAUUGAGUCUAUAGGAAAAGCCAAUACUAUCAAGAGGGGAUGAGGUGUUGCUUAAUGGCUUGCUUGCUCAAAGUGCUUAGUGAUAUGCUCCAAAACCCUCAACUACCUUCCCACAUCCACAUAUGACCUAAACCAAAAGUCAAACUUGGCCCCACCAAUUCUAUCUAUCCGGCGCCACCGAGUUUCAGAUGUCAUAGCCACUGCCACAAACCCUAGCAAAUCGGUUUCACCGAUAGGGAUCUCGGUCUCACCGAGAUGGGAUUGUAAUCUCUCUAUGUAUGUCCAUUACCAAAAUCGGUCUCACCGAGUUUGAGCAAUCGGUACUACCGAGAUUACAAUGCAAACCCUCUGGUUAGCUUAUUACCAAAAUCGGUCCCACCGAGUUUGUGUAAUCGGUCUCACCGAGUUUGCCUGACCAACUCUCUGGUUAGCAUAUUACCAAAAUCGGUCCCACCGAGUUUGUGUAAUCGGUCACACCGAGAUUACGUUAUUCCCUAACCCUAACCAUAUCGGUCCUAUCGAGUUGCAUCUCAGUCCCACCGAAAAUCCUAACAGUCACUAGGUUUGUUGAAUCGGUCCAACCGAGUUUAACCAUUCGGUCCCACCGAGUUUGGAAAAUUGUGUGUAACGGUUAGAUUUUGUGUGGAGGCUAUAUAUACCCCUCCACCCACUCUUCAUUCAUGGAGAGAGCCAUCAGAACAUACCUACACUUCCAAUACACAUUUUCUGAGAGAGAACCACCUACACUUGUGUUGAGGUCAAGAUAUUCCAUUCCAACCAUAUGAAUCUUGAUCUCUAGCCUUCCCCAAGUUGCUUUCCACUCAAAUCUUCUUUCCACCAAAUCCAAAUCCUGUGAGGGAGAGUUGAGUGUUGGGGAGACUAUCAUUUGAAGCACAAGAGCAAGGAGUUCAUCAUCAACACACCAUUUGUUACCUCUUGGAGAGUGGUGUCUCCUAGAUUGGCUAGGUGUCACUUGGGAGCCUCCAACAAGAUUGUGGAGUUGAACCAAGGAGUUUGUAAGGGCAAGGAGAUCACCUACUUUGUGAAGAUCUACCGCUAGUGAGGCAAGUCCUUCGUGGGCGACGGCCGUGAUGGAAUAGACAAGGUUGCUUCUUCGUGGACCCUUCGUGGGUGGAGCCCUCCGUGGACUCGCAUAACCGUUACCCUCCGUGGGUUGAAGUCUCCAUCAACGUGGAUGUACAAUAGCACCACCUAUCGGAACCACGACAAAAACAUUCGUGUCUCCAAUUGCGUUUGAAUACUCCAAACCCUUCUCUUUACAUUCUUGCAAGUUGCAUGCUUUACUUUCCGCUGCUCAUAUAUUCAUUGCAUGCUUGCUUGAUAUGUAUUGUGUUUGUUAAAUUUGUGCUUAAAGUCCACUUAAACUUAAGAAUAUAAAAAACUGCAACUUUUGGUACUUUGUGUCUUAUCACCCCCCUCUAGACACCUCUUUUUGAUCCUUUCAAUUGGUAUCAGAGCAUUGGUCUCCAUUGCCUUGGUUUAAACACCAUUGGAGGAAGAUGGAUGUGUCUACUUUGGGGAGUCUUAGACAUAGAGUGCCUAUUCUUGAUGGAGAGUAUUUUCAUGAGUGGAAAAAUGAAAUGCUUGAGAUUUUCAAUGAAUAUCAUUUGAACAAGUACAUUACUAGCCCUUGUGCACCUCAUGUUGAUCCUUUGCACCCUACCCUAGAUGAAGAUAUUGACAUGAUUCGCAAUCUUAGAACUGUUGAGCUCAUCAUUAGAGGCUUGCCUAGAAACUUGAUUAGAUGUUUGCCUACUCUCAAGUGUGCCUACACCAUAUGGAGAUUUCUUGAGGAAUGAUUUCUAGAUUAUUCCUUGAAAAAUUUGGACGAAAUUCUCCAUAAGUCUAUUGCCUUGAGUAAGAUGAACUCUAGUGAUCCUAUGUCGCGACCGGGUUUUCCGGGUAUAAAUUUCCAGAAAAAGACCGUCAUGCUCAUCAGCCCCAGGAUUACUGUUAGCUGAUGAGGCUCCAACUUGAUACAGAAAUUCCAAGAAAAAUACAAAAUAUGUAGUACAAGACCAUUCUGGCCUGUGAGUACAACAAAUGGUUUCUGGUGGUCGAUGGCGGAAGCGGUUUGUGAGUCAUCAGUGUCUAUGGGACUCCAUUUCCCACAGGAACAGCUGACCAGGUUAAGUCCUAUCUUCGCGAGGCUGCUAUCACCGUUGCUUAGGUCUCGAGGCUGUCAUCGCCACGCUCCUCUCCAAGUAGAAAUCUGGCCAAGACAAUAGCCAGGGACAAGCCAGUGAGUACUUUGAAUGUACUCGCAAACAUUAAGAACACUAGGAUAAUAUAAUUGAUAAUCAUGCACUGAAAAAUUUUAUGAUCACAUCGUCAGUCAUAAAUAAAACAUCUUUCAUGCAUGCAAGCAGGUUAUUUUCAUGCAACAUGAAUAAGCAGUAAUAGAGUGGGAAUAAAAUGCCGCAGUCGGGCGUCUGAGCGACACCACAUAAAGGGCUUUAAAAGAAAUGCCACAGUCGGGCGUCUGAGCGACACCACAUAAAGGGCUUUAAAAGAAAUGCCACAGUCGGGCGUCUGAGCGACACCACAUAAAGGGCUUCAAAAGAAAUGCCACAGUCGGGCGUCUGAGCGACACCACAUAAAGGGCUUUAAAAGAAAUUCCACAGUCGGGCGUCUGAGCGACACCACAUAAAGGGCUUAUAAGAUAAAUAAUCACAAUGAAUAUCCAGGAGGUAGAACCGUCCCAGGGAUACUCGAUAAUAUAAAUAAUGCAACGGGUUAGUCCAUCACAAAAUAAUAAUCAUGGUCCUCACAAGUAACUAGUCGGUAUCCAAGUUUGGUUUAACCAUAUCUCCUCCGAAGACCGACACUAAGACCAACACUUGACCCAUCCCAGACUGUAAUCCUUAACCAUGGACACGGCUAUUCGAAUAGGUUUAAUCUCUGCAGAGGGUGUACUCUUUACCCACGAGUAACGGAUUCCUUUAGUCCAUCGGGACUAAUUCCGUCUACGGCCUUUUAGUUGAAAACACGCCUAACUUGCACACACCAGCUUAACUCAUCGGUGUCUGGAAUCACCCACGACACUUGUUAAGAAAAACUCUAAGUGGGGAGGCUACAACCUCGCGUAGCAUGGGAUCAAAUUUAUAUCGCGCGCUCUAAGGGGUGGCCUCCCCUCUCGGUCCCAACCGAAAACACCCAUGCCCCUGGACCAGGUGGCCUGCCUACCGGCUACAAUCGAUAUCUUCCACCAUGGCCUCUCUGUACGGUGUGUGCUUGAAAGGGGUUGACGACUUACUGAACCGUACCCUACCUGCGGCAGGGACAAGUGGUAGUACGAGACAAGUAUGGGGGUUACUGGAACAAGACUCGGUCUACGGUCGACUCAGGAGGUUUAUAAAUUUCCUGCAUGACAUGUAUAACAAAUAUAUUUCCACCAACAAAAUCACCACUCAAUGUACCUUACCAUGCCAUACCGGACAUAACCGUCCCGACGGGGACCAGCGACAAGCUCACUCCUACCCAAGGCAGAGGCUUUCCCGGAUUCCUUUCCGGCAUGCAUGCAAGGCACAUGAGGGUGAUUACCAUCACAAGUAUAUUCAUUUCCAACAGCAAGGAAAUCACUAAUAUGCCUUCAUGCAAAUGAUCAUAUCACAUGAAAUAACAAGUUCUCCGAUAUAAGGUGGUGUUAUAAACGUGUCAACUAACACACCAAAAAUAUUAUUCCGGGGUUCAGAAUGCUUGCCUUCAUGGUGUGGAAAGGCAGGGUGUACUCCAAGACUUUUGAAAGCUUUCUUCUCUUCCAAAAUCUGGGGUGGAUUACGCCUUCACUUAACCCACGUGGAUAGGUAUAGGGUCACUGAUAGUGGGUCCAGGGGGCCCACUGGUUAGGUUUGACCAGUCGCCGCACCUCCUUCUUCCUCCUUUGUCCGAGCGGGGCGAGGUUCCGGCAUUGCUCGCCGGCGAACGGCGGCACCGUUCGAGAAACCGAAGCCAUCCACGGGCUCAGGGGGUCGAGGCGGUCCCGUCGGUGGUUGCUACGGUCUCGGGGGUGGACGGAGUCGUCGGCGGUGAGCUUCACGGCGGAAGGAGCUUCGGGAGCAAAGUGUGUUUGGGGCUAUGGUGGUUCCCGAUCAAAAUCGAGUAGGGGGAUGGGUUCACGGGAGGAAGAGAGAGUUACUGGUGAAGAGAACGGAGAGUGGGAGGCCCUGGUUGCGGUGAAUGGAGCUGGGACGUGGCGGUGGCCGAACCGGCCGGAGUUGGGGAAGACGGCUUUCCCCCGACGAUUGCUGGCUGUGGGGGUGCCAUGGGGGUGGCCUGAGGUUGUCUGCGUGCUUGAAUGAGUUCGAAGGCCUCCUUAUAUAGCGCGACGAGGUCGGUUUGCGGCGGCCGGAUAAGAACGACGGCGGACCGCCUUCCUGUAGUGGCAGGGUGUCGUGGCGGCGACGAGCGCUAGGGGACAUGCUUGCGGAUGAGCACGCACUGCUCCAGGAGGCAGGUGGCGAGCGGGGGAGGCUCGGCGGCGCCGACAUGAGCAGGGGGCUGUCGGGCGGCCGCGGCGGCUAGCUCUUGGCCUGCCGGGGUGUGGCGAGGGGCGGCUUGGCGUGAAGCGGUGAGGAGGGACGUGCGUGGCGUGGUUCUGCAGUGGGGGCAAGCUAGGGGCGCGACGCGUUGGCUCGGGCGCGGCACGUGCAAAACGCGUGCUCUGCUCGUGCUCCAGGCGUGCACGGGACGUGCUCGACGAAAUGCCAUGGCAUGCUGGGGGUUUCCAAACCGCAAGAGGGUUAGCAGGGUGGGGUUAUAGGCUAGGGAAACACCAUUGGACAGGCUGGUUUGGUCAGGGGAUCAAGUUCAUAAAGCAAACACAAACCCAUGUCAAAACUGAUCAUGCCCAUAAGGUGUUUGACAAAAUGCUAAGGGCACUUAGGCAGGUCUUGGAGUGGACAAAAACUCCAGAUGGUGGUCUCUUUAGAUGAAUAAGAGGGUGGUGAGGUUAGUUUGUGAAAAGCACAAACUUGUUAGUGCAGGUUUUGCAAAACUUCAAAUCUGGACAGGAUGUGAAUGGCAUUAUUUCCUGAACCAAAAAUAUGCCAAUGGGUGCAUGCUCCUGGAUUUAGGGGUUUGGUAGGGCUGUCUACAAGUAGGAGAAAGCACAAGAUCAUUGGAGCAAAAUUAUAUAGGGUUGUAGUAGAAAUCACAAGACUGGACCAGAAUGGAAAAGAGGUUGAUUCACUCAAAAUUUUCAAAGAAUAGCACUAGGUUUUUUGCAUAAAGUUGAAUCAUAUGCUACUACCAACAUCCCAUAAUUUUGGUGGAGGCCAGAAAGAAAUAUUUAAAAGGGUUGUAGUGCAAAAUUGCACUCUGGACUAGAGAAGAAAAAUUGAUGCAGAGCUCAACAUAUUACAUGAAUAAAAUAUAUUUUUGUAUAAAAGUGAUUCCAAAAUAUCACAUGACAACUCCAAUUUUUGGUUGGAAUUUUAGGUGAAUUUAUCAAAUGGUUGUAGUUCAAUUAUGGCCAUAUAACCUUGGAAAACCAUUUUUCAAGAAAAUAAAGAUCAAGCAAAUUAAUUAGGUAAUUAGCUAUACUGAUAAAAGAAAAGUUUUUCUUGAGAGGUUAAACAAGUCCAAUAACAUAUUUGAAAGGUUUUCACUUUAGGGAACAACUCAAUGAUAAUAAGAAAGGAAAUGUUUCAAAAAAAUUCAAAAGGGAGUCAAAAAAUCAAAGUUUUAAUUCCUCGCAAAAAUUUUAAUUUAUUAAAACAAGGCCAAAAUUUUUGGGUGUCACAUCCUAGCUAUGGUGAUUGUCUAUUUGAGCUUACCAAUCUCAUGCGUGCUAAAGGAAAUGUUGGAAUCAUUAGCGAUAUCAUAUCUGAAGCUAUUAGAAUUCAUAAAGGUAACCAUUGUGAUGAUCAUUUAUCUAAUGAAUUACCCUAUCUAGGAAUUGAUCAAUCACAAGAUGAUGUUGAACAUGGAUACUAUGAUGAAGAUGAUGAUAGUGACUAUGAUCUUGAUGAUGCAAUGAGGCAUUUUGGUCUUAUGGCAAAUCUUCGCGGCUACAUGGCAGGAGGAAAGGAAUGGGUCCUUGAUAGUGGAUGCACUGAUCAUAUGACCGGAGAUAAAGAUAUGUUCCGUGAGCUUGCUGAAAACGACGACCCUCGAAAAUAUGUCACUUUUGGUGAUAAUUCAAAGGGUAAGGUGGUUGGCCUUGGUAAGGUGGCCAUCUCACAUGAUAGCUCCAUACAAAAUGUCAUGCUCGUUGAAUCCCUUGGAUACAAUUUACUUUCAGUUUCUAGACUUGCAGAUUUCGGUUUCAAUGUCUUAUUCACUGAAGUAGAUUGCCAAGUGUUUCGUAGAGACAAUCAUAAAAUGGUCUUUACCGGUAUACAUAGAGGAGAUCUUUACAUUGUUGAUUUCACUAAAAAGGCUCAACCCAGAACUUGCUUAAUUACCAAAUCUUCUAAAGGCUGGUUGUGGCAUAGAAGACUAGGUCAUGUUGGUAUGCGAAAUCUUGAUAAGCUUAUUAAAGGUGAUCAUAUCCUUGGAAUAAAAGAUGUCAUAUUUGACAAGGAUAGACUUUGUAGUGCUUGUCAAGCAGGGAAACAAGUUGGAGGAAGUCACCGCGCGAAGAACAUCAUGACCACAAGAAGACCACUCGAGCUACUUCACAUGGAUCUCUUUGGUCCAAAUGCCUACAAGAGUCUCGGUGGUAACUCAUUUGGUCUAGUCAUAGUUGAUGAUUUUUCAAGAUUUACGUGGGUGUUCUUUCUUGAUGACAAAUCGCAGGUCCAAAAGAUCUUCAAAAACUUCGCUAGGAAGGCCCAAAAUUAGUUUGACGUGAAGAUCAAGAAGGUUCGGAGCAACAACGGAACGGAGUUCAAGAACGCAAAUGUGGACACCUUUCUUGACGAAGAAGGGAUUUCACACGAGUUCUCGGCUACGUACACACCUCAAAAAAAUGGAGUUGUUGAAAGGAAGAACCGGACUCUUAUCGAGAUGGCAAGAAUGAUGCUUGAUGAGUACAAAACGCCAAAGCACUUUUGGGCGGAAGCGGUUGAGACAGCUUGUCAUGCAACAAAUCGCUUGUAUCUUCACAAGCUACUCGGCAAGACGACAUACGAGCUCCUCACCGGUAACAAACCCCAAGUUGGAUACUUUCGAGUAUUCGGCUCAAAGUGCUACAUUCUUGAUAAGCAUCGUCGUUCUAAAUUUGCUCCUAAAUCUCAUGAAGGUUUCCUACUUGGUUAUGGCUCAAACUCUCACACUUACCGUGUCUACAACAAUUUCACCCGAAAGGUUUAAGAGACGGUAGAUGUGAAGUUUGAUGAAUCUAACGGCUCGCAAGUAGAGCAAUUGCCAAUUGAUGUAGGAGACAAAGACCCUUCAGAAGCAAUUCAAGACUUGUCCAUUGGCAAGAUUCGUCCAACGGAAGUAAAGGAGAGUACCUCGUCCGUCCAAGUGGAAGCUUCUACCUCACAACAAGGUGAACCAAGAGUUGAUAUGGAAGCAUCAACAAGUGGGACAUGCCAAGAUGAAGAAAACGAGGAAGCGCACCAAGAUGAACAUCAACAACCUCCUUCUCCACCACGACAAGAGAACGACAACGUCAACAAUGAAGAAGGCCAAGAAGAAGCACAAGAUGAAGAGGAUGUUCCACCCCGACCCAAGAAAAAGCUUUCAUGAGUUCGAGCAAGAAUUGAUAAGGAUCAUCCCGUCGAGCAAAUCUACAACGAUAUCCAAACUGGGAGAAUCACUCGCUCUAAAACUCAUUCAGCUAACUUUUAUGAACAUUACUCAUUCAUCUCUAGCAUUGAACCGAUGAAGGUUGAAGAAGCAUUGGAGGAUCCAGACUGGAUAAACGCUAUGCAUGGAGAGCUACACAACUUUGAGAGAAAUCAAGUGUGGACAUUGGUCGAGAAGCCCGACAACAACCACAACAUCAUUGGUACCAAAUGGGUGUUUCGCAACAAGCAAGAUGAAGAUGGACAAGUGGUUCGCAACAAAGCACGCCUCGUCGCCCAAGGCUACACACAAGUUGAAGGUAUGGACUAUGAUGAGACAUAUGCUCCCGUUGCUAGACUUGAGUCCAUUCGCAUCUUACUUGCUUAUGCUAAUCACCAUGAUAUCACCUUGUACCAAAUGGACAUUAAAAGUGCUUUUCUAAAUGGCAAAAUUGAGGAGGAAGUUUAUGUUAAGCAACCUCCCGACUUCGUCAAUCCUAAGAAACCUAAUCAUGUUUACAAACUUCACAAAGCCCUUUAUGGUCUUAAACAAGCUCCUAGAGCAUGGUAUAAAUGCUUGACCAAGUUCCUUAUUGAAAAAGGCUUUGAAAUUGGUAAAAUUGAUUCUACUCUUUUUACUAAAAGGGUUAAUGGAGAACUAUUUGUGUGCCAAAUUUAUGUUGAUGAUAUCAUAUUUGGUUCAACUAACCCUCAUUAGUGAGAAGUUUGGAAAGCUAAUGUCGGAGAAGUUUGAGAUGUCUAUGAUGAGUGAACUCAAAUUCUUUCUCGGUUUGCAAAUCAAGCAAACUAAGGAAGGUACCUUUGUCUCUCAAACAAAGUACACCAAGGACUUACUCAAGAAGUUCAAUAUGCAAGAAUGCAAAGGUAUGACUACACCCAUGCCUACUAGUGGACAUCUUGAUUUGACCAAAGAUGGUGAACCGGUUGAUUAAAAGGUUUACCGCUCUAUGAUUGGUUCAUUGUUAUAUCUAUGUGCCUCUCGUCCCGAUAUUAUGCUAAGUGUGUGCAUAUGUGCACGAUAUCAAGCUGCUCCUAAAGAGUGUCAUCUUAAGGCUGUGAAAAGGAUAGUGAGAUACCUAAUCCAUACACCAAAUUUUGGCAUUUGGUAUCCUAAGAGGUCCUCUUUUGAUCUUGUUGGCUACUCCGAUUCAGACUAUGCCGGAGACAAGGUUGAUAAAAAAUCCACUUCGGGUACUUGUCAAUUCCUUGGUAGAUCUCUUGUGUCUUGGUCUUCCAAGAAACAAAACUCGAUAUCCUUAUCCACCGCCGAAGCGGAAUACAUUGCGGCUGGUUCAUGUUGUGCUCAAUUACUUUGGAUGACCCAAACUCUUAAAGAUUAUGGGAUAUAUGUGAAACAUGUUCCAUUGCUAUGUGACAAUGAAAGUGCUGUUAAGAUUGCUCACAAUCCCGUGCAACAUUCUCGAACUAAGCAUAUUGAAGUUCGUCAUCAUUUCAUUCGAGAUCAUGUUGCAAAAGGGGACAUUAACCUGAAGCAUGUUCACACCGAUAAGCAACUGGCGGAUAUAUUCACUAAACCACUUGAUGAGAAAGUGUUUUGCAGGUUGAGAGGUGAAUUGAACAUCAUUGAUGCUUCAAACUUGGAGUAGGAACUCCAUUUGAUACAUGCGGGGCAUGAGCCUAUGACUAAUCCCCGAUAUUUAUCUUAUGAUGCUAUUCAUAUGUCUUGGAUAUAUUUGUACCUUGCAUGUUAUCUAACCCGUGUAGGUACUUGGUUGAAUCUAAAUCUAUGAGAUUGCAACUCACUCACAUCUUGAGCAAUCUCUACAUCACCAAGUCUCUACACAAUGGUGGUUGAAGACAAGGAAGCACAAAACCAUUCAAACAUAUCCUUUGGCAAAUUCUAUGUUGAGUCUCAUGAUUGUCAUUUUGGAUACACAAGUGCUCUUCCUUGCAAAUAUAACCCAUGUAGGUAGAUGAACUCAAACUCCAAGUGGUGCUCCCAACCCUUGAUGAACUACAUCAACCUUGAGCAACCCACACAAGUUCAACUACAUGAGCAAGAUCAACACCACCAC